CGCGGUGGGCUGCAGCGGUUUGAGGCACCUGGGUUGGCGGUGGGGGGCUGUGGGGGGGAGGCGUGGAGGGUGCCUUGAUAAUACUUUUCGGGGCAGGCGAGGAGAACAAAUCAAAGUGCGGUAGCUGAGAAGCGCUGAGAUGCCACCGACUUGUGAACCGUAUCCGUGGGAACCCCGACGGGGCGGGGGCUCCCGAGGGGCUGUGGGAGUGCGGUGGAAAGGUUACAAGGUCGCGGACCGGCCCUCCCUGCCACUGACCCUGCUUGACCUUGGACAAGUGACUUAACCCAUUUAGAGCUCCUCGUGAGUGAUCCGUGGGGCGACAGCUCCGUGAUCUAUGAUGUCCUCCAAUUUUUCAAAGCCAUCUCCGUUUGAGGCUUGGGGCCUCAACGUGCUGAGCGAGUUACGAAGCAGUAGGCCAGGAUGUCUUUACGUGUGCCUGGGCUCACCUUACACCCCACUCGCAAGUAACUUUGAAGUCUGGAUGCUUUAACAUACCAAUAUUUAAAGGCUUUCUUCAGUGAAAAAUGAGUUACCAUUUUUGCUUAUUUUACAAUUCUUAAGACUAGCCUACUUUGCUGCACCCUUUGGAGCCCUAGGGGCCGGGCUUGGGGACUGGGAGCCAAGCCUGCGCGUGCAGUGGCAGGUGUCGCCAGCGAUGGUCCCUUCCGGACUCCGGUUUAGGGCAAGAACUAGGUAUUAAUUAUGCAUAGCAGAGAGUAGGCAGGGCAGGUGUUUUUGCUUCUGUCUUCUAAAAACUUUGGCUGGGGGAGGGGUGGUGUGAGUGGAAGGGAGGGUGCUCUUCUGAGAGAGGAAAAGAAAAUCUCACUUUUAACCAAAGUAAAUCUUACAUUACUGUAAAAUCUCCUUACAGGAACAGUAACAUAGCACAAGUACAUCUUGAUCUAAUUUUAGUGAAGUAUUGAAAAUAGCUGCUAUGUUCAGUAUCACUGACGCCAAGACAGCUGACUUACAUAAUCUUCGUUGGGAUGUGUUAGUGGCAUGUAUAAUUUUGAUAAAUAAUUAAUGUUAAAGGUUUGGUCUGGCUUUGGUAUUGCAAACCGAUGUAGCAUUAACUUUUCAUUAUCACAAUGACCUGAUUUUUUCCAUAAAAAUCAUUUUUAUCACCAAAAUUCUCUUAAAUAUUGCAUUUACUUUGUCAGUAGUGCAUUCAGAAGAAAUGAUAAAGUACUCCAGUUUCCUCGUCACUCAUGGGAGUGCCUUCUAGAUGUCAAGUGCUUCCCUGGACAUUUUCUCUUCUUGUGCAACUUAUAACAACAGAAGUUGAUUUUUUUAAAAAAAAUGGAAGUUCAUAAAUAUAGUCAACAAAUGCUGAAUAUUCAGAAUACUUGGUGCUAUGAUAAAAAUGAUUACAAAUCUGUGUUGCCCAUCUUUUUAUGUUAACAUGCCACAGUGGAAAGAAAGAAGGUAGCAAAGAAAGAACUGGCAGAGAAACUGAGCUAAGCUAAAGUUCCAGUAUAUAGCAUGAAAAUUUAGACCUCAAAAUUGGCAUUUAACAUAAUACAUGUGAUGACCUGGUUUUGUUUGAAAAACAUGAAACUUUGAAAAGGUACAUUUCUUAAAGAAUCAGUAGCUGUUUGUGUUGUGAUUGGAUGUCUAAUGAAAUGGCCUAAUUGUAACCAUAAUAUUUCACUUCAGUGCUGCCUGAUUUUUAAACUCAUUUUUUAGAUGGCCUUAAAUAAACCUUUCAAUUCAGUUGUAUGAAGGAAAAUGUACCUUUUUAAAUCAACUAAAUCUGCAGUGAGAAAAAGUAUCUCCAAUUUUACACCAAAUGCAAAUUAAGCACCAGAAAUAGCAUCUUCCCAAAAAGGUCUUCACUCUAGACAAGUACUGUGUGUAGGAGAGAUCUAAUGUGGACUGCAGUGAGAUCUGCUAUUAUUCCUGAGGGACUGGUGUCACAGUUUGCUGACUUCAGGAGAGUCCUAAGGCCUCAAUAUUUGGAGACUUGGAAACUUCUGGAAAGCCUAAUGGCCUUUAUUUAAGAAAGACCGUUCAACCCAAGACCUCAUCUUGAUGCUUGAACAACAAGCUGCUGUUGUAGAAUUUGUAUUCUUCAUGAAAAUGUGAUAGUUGGGCAGCCUUUUAGGAGGUUAGAAUAGUGCAUCUCCAAUGUGGUCCUUAGCCCUGUACCAGUAGUACUCUCACACCUUCAGAUUCCUGGGCAUUUUCCACAUUUACAGAAUCCUAAUGUCUGUGAGCAAAACCUAGAAUCUGUAUUCUUACCAAAUCCCUUCCAAAGUGAGAGUUAAUCACACUAUAUUUUAAGAGUCAGCAUUAGAAUUUUCUUGCCAAUGUUGUAACAGCAAGUGUUGCUUUUUUCAAGGAUCCUUUAAAAAGCCCCUGCAUACUUAUUGCUCAGAUCUUUCUCCUGUGGCACCAGACCUGUUGCCUCAUCUUUCAGUUGGGCUACAGCCAGGGACCACUUCAUGACCCACCUCUGCAGGAAACCCAAGAGAUGAUCUCCAGCAGAAUGAAAGCUGUUUUGGGAGCACAGGGCCAAGAUACCGCAAGUUCCAGAGCCACUCCUACUGGUGAGAUAGUCCCACCGUCUUUCCCAGAUUUGUUGGCAAUUGUGGAAGUGGACUCCCAGUCUACUUCUUCAGUGAGGAAAAUAAGGUCUCCAGCAAGUGAUCAGAAAUGGAAGGAACAGAAGGCCUGAGAAGGAAGAGAACAAAAGUGCUAAUUGGAGAGCUGUGCCCUCAACGCCCUGCAGCACUCACAUUUGAAGAUUAUGCAGGAAACUGUGUGGCUAAACUCAAGUCCCCUGCUUUCUAUCACCAAAAUUUUUAUCUACAAACUCAUAUAAUGGCUCCUGUAACAUGUGUAUCCAUAAAAUCCUCACAUAUAAAUGAAGAUUUUCAUACUUAGAGAAAAAGUGGUGGUGAUCAAAGAGUUUAGGAAAGAGCUUCAAAGCAUAAGUUGAGGAGGUUGCCAGACCUGAUUCCAGCCCUUGUUUUGCCCUUUACUUGUAGGUGGCCUUGAGCUGUCUCCUUGACCCUCUAAUCUUCCAUUUCCUUACCUUGAAAGUGAAGAUAAAGUACCUGCCUCCUAGGUCUUAUUUUGGAACUUAUGUAAGCCUAUGAAUUAAAGUACCAUCAGCUAAUAAUCGCCACACAGUGUACAAGAGGUCUUAAAAAAGUUCAUGGAAAAUUAAUAUAACUGCAUGGAUUUCAAAAACAUGUUUGAAUUUAUUUAUUGAUUUUUAAAAUGUGUUUGAGGAAAGAGAGAGAGAGAUCUCCCAUCUGCUGAUUCCCUUCCCAAAUGCCCACAACAGCCAGGCCUGGGUCAGGCCAAGGUCAAGAGCCAGGAACUCCAUCUGGGUCUCCCCAAACGUGAGGCAGGGACCCAAGUACUUGAUGGUCAUCUGUUGUCUCACAGGGUGUGCAUCAGCAGAAAGUGGAAUCAGAAGCAGAGGCAGAACUGGAUCCCGGGCAUGCUGAUGAUGGGAUGCCAGUGUCCAAAGCUGUGGCUUAACCCGCUGUGCCACAAUGCCUACUUCUCGAUUUUUUUUUUUUUUGCACCAGAAUCAGCUUAUCUUUUUCAUUUUUUUCAUGAACUUUUUAAAGGGCCCUCAUAUACUCAAUAUAAGUAGCUCUCAAUUUACUGUAGUAACAUUUUGAAAUUUAUUUUUUAGCCCUGGAGAGUUGAAUGGAAGAAGGAAAAGAGAGGAGGACAUCGCCAGAGGAGAUAAGUAGCUCUGGGCACAGUGGACAGCCCCAUUACUACAUCAUAAUUUUGGGGCAGAGGCCAAGAGAGGAGAGAAAGAUACAGAUUACAGUGGCAGCUAAUAAUUUGGGUUUUGUUCCAUAGCUCAGUGGCUCUGGUGCUCUUAUCCACCCUCCUCCCUUUUUGGUACUGCCAUAUUUACACUUAAUUAUAGACUUUCUUGAUUCACUUUGAAAAACACUGAUUAUGUAGUCGGCCUUGAAUUUUAAUCCUGGUUUUGGAUUUUAAUAUUAUUGAUUCUCAACCUUACAGGACAUUAAUGGCGGCAGCUGUCUCUCACCCAUGGGAUCUCGUUUUGGACUUUCUGAGGUGAAGAUAUACCCAUCUGCAGUCCUAUAGGAAUAGAUUCAGAAUUCAAGUCUAAUUUCCUUUUUCGGAGAUGUAUGUGCCAUCAAGACAUGGGGACAUGGUCAGAAAGGCCCCCCCCCCCCCUUUUAAGACAACUUUUACUUCCUAGAACUAUUUAUGCUUGUCAGAGUACAUUCUUGUUCCUUACAACUGCCCUGUGAAGUCUGGCUAAUAUUACUAGACAGAUUCCUACGAUGCAAUUUAGGCCUUUCUGUCUUCCUACCUUUAUUCUCUUUGCACACCUGUUGCUAGGCUAGUCUGUGCUUUCAUAACUUCUGUUUGCUAAAAUCAAAAUCUUUUAAUUGCUUAUUUAUUCCCCCAUCACACUGCAUCUCUCCUUCCUGGCUUAUAAAGUGGCCUUAAAAGUGAAGUUCCCAUCCUGUGCUCAACACUGUUUAGCCUGUAUUGCUUCCCUCACUGAUGAUGUCUACUCUCGAACCAACCAGAUUCUACUCAUUUUUCAGUUUUCGACCCUCCCCUGGAACCUUACCAGAUCAUUAACAUCCUAAGAUUCCUACCAUGAAUUCAGUGGAAGCCACAGCUGUUUGAGCAGUUAUAACCUGGUCUUAAAGUUCUAAUUGAAAAGGCAAGCAUAUAAUGGAUUUGAUGUAGAGGAAAAAUCACUGGGCAAAGUGAAUUUGAAGACUUCCGAUAAGGAGUUGUGUGAGCCAAGCCAGCUUACUCUACCUUCUAGCUCUACGUUUCCUGGUCUUUGAAUGGAGAGAAUUGGCCAGAUGAUCCUAAUGGUCUCUUCUCAUUCUGAGGUUCUAGGACAACUUGGCCCUACUUAGUGGGAUAGGACUGGGGCUCUUAUUAAGUUCUUGGAUGCAGAUGUCACUAAAGGGUGCCUUCAAGACUUAUUCUGUCCCAGAGAUUUCUAAUUCUAAACUUGGCAACUUUCAAAUGGCAUAUACCUUUUCUGGAAAGCUGUAUAACCAUCAGAAUUCGGGGAAGGUUAGUAGGAGACGAAUUAGGUAUCAGGAUGAUAGUGUGUUAGCAUUAUCCUUGAGAAUCUCUCCCUAAGAUAGAAUAAGUAGGUUAAUUCUUGAAUAAAACUUACUUUUAAGAGUUUAAAAUUUAUAGUAUCUGGGGUAAUUGGCUCCAGGACAAUCCCCUUUUUCUUAUCCUCGGCACAGAUAUCAAACUCUAUAGAUGAUCAAGUCCCUCAUACAAAAUGGCAUAGGAUGCGCACAGAAUCUACGUACAGCCUCCUGUGGAUGUGUGGAUCUCUAGAUUACUUUAAUAUACAAUACAAUGUAAAUAACUAUUAUACUGUAUUAUUUAGGUACUAAUAAGGAAAAAAAUCUGUACAUGUUCAGUACAGACACAAUUAAAAAAAUAUUUUCUGUUUGUGGUUGGGUGGUUGUGGAACCUGCAGACAAAGAGUGGACUGCAGUUUGCAUUGCUGCUUCACUGAAUGGUGUUAGCUAAUAACACAAUUCUGUUUUUCUUUUAAUCAUUUAAUAACCUGAGAAACAUUAACAUAGUCAAGACCCUAGCAUAGAUACUAGAUGACUUUCUGUCAUAAUUUGGCUGAAAAUAAUGUUUGAAGUUUGCAUAUAUGUAUAUACAUAUAUCAUAUGCACAUUAUAUUUAAAUUGGGAAGGAUGCUCCUGAAUUACAAGAUGCUUUUAUACAUUGACCAGAUUUAAGAAUAUCUCUUUAAAGUUUGUUGACAUUUAAUUGACCUUUGAAAGUUCAUUCUGUUAAUCAUACUCAAAGUGCUAAAGCUAUGGAUGACUGCUCUGAUGUUUUUACAUUCAGUCGUGCUCAGCAUAUAAAUUCUUCAGCAUAAUUGCUACUUAUUUAGCAAGCAUUUCCUCUCUUCUCUGAAAAUGCACUUGUGUUUUUGUAUCUUUAGUUUUAACUUUGCUUCAGGCUGGGUAAUGUUAGAGGUUUGAAUUGAAAUGUUUUCCUGUCAUUAGUUGUAUGGGGCGUGGCUCCUUAAUAUAGAAGUAAUGGAAAUUUCUUACUAAGUGAAGUGUACUUUUCUUCCUGAAAAAUUUAGAAAUAUUGAUGGGACAGUGCUAACAUUUUGACCUUGAAAACUACUAUAUAUUUUUAAGCAAAAUUCUUGGAAAUAUUUCAGUUUCAUUUUUGCACAUUAAAGCUAUCAGUACUAACACUUUUAUUAAAUGAGGAUUCAAAAGAGCUUUUUCAUAAGAAACUAUAAUCAUAUUCUUUGAAUUGCUGUGAGUAGAAUUUUAUUUUAUUGUAAACAAGUAUUUGUUAAAUAAAGCCCAGAAAGUCAUAUUUAUAUUUUUUAAAUAUUAAUACUUUAUUAAUACACCUAGAGUCUAUGUUGAAAUAUUUUAGAAUUUUUGAGUUUUCAACUUAUGCAGUCUCGUGAGUUUUAAUAUGAUUAGCUGUUUUUAUAGGUUUGUAAGUUGAUAUUUCUAAUAACCUGGGAAAGUUUUUGAUAAAUGUUGAUAGAAAAAUAAAAGGAUGUAAUUAACAAUUUUUUAUAGUUUAUCUCUGAGAUUCGAGACAGGAUUUUUUGAAUGCUUUUACCCUAAAAGUUUACUUCAUCAAAAAAACAAAGGUUCAAAACCAGAUAACAUUCCAGAGGGAAGAUGGUUCAGAUUGCCCCUCUUACUAUGCACUAAGCUACUUUUGUAACCAGAAAGACAGGAUAUGACAUGCACAGAUUACCUGAUUGGUGCAGUCUGGCAUUUGCCUUAUUUGGACAUAGUUUGUCAGCCUUCAGCCUGGAACUGGCUAAGGCUCAGUUUAGCUAUGAAAGUAAUUCACUAAAUAUAUAAACUCUUUGGGCCAAACUCAUGGUUCAGGUACAGAGGCUUGUUUAGGCCAAUUUAUUCUGGUUCAACACUAAUGAAGAAGAUUAAAAUUUAAACCAGAGUUGUAUGUGUCAUCAGGUAAUUUUAUAGUUUGCAGAUAUGUAGCUCCAUAUUCCAGAUGCAUGCUCCUCCCUGUUUAUAAUGAGUUUUGAUGCCGUUUUAUCAUUUACUUGCAACACAUUGCAAGCAUGUUUGAUAGUGUCAUUGUUUUGAAUGUGACAUUAUUUUCUCAUCUUGUCCUUUAAUAUUGUCCUUUUUUCUUAUUUUUCUGUUCACAUUAGAGCUUUCUCAUUUCAUCCACCCAUUUCCAAAUGAAAAUACAUCCUUGUCUCCCAAACAUUUAACUUCAAAAUGCACCCUUGUUUAGAAAAUAGAGUAAACAUCUUAAAUAGUAUUAUUUCAGUAAGAGCUAAAGAAUACACUGCUGCAUAGUCAGAUACAGGAUGUCCCAGAACAAGGGUGAACUCUCAGACUCCUAUUUUUUAAGUUGUGAUUUCAGCAGACAAAUAGAAGUAUUGCUUCAGUAAUAAAUAGUGUCUCAGGACCAGAAUUGGCUACUGUGUAAGAUAAAGCCUGGUUCAAUAGGGAGUUUUUCUCACAUCUUGGUAAUUCUACUGUACUAAUGAUACAUUAACAAAAUCGAUAUAUUUGCCAUUCUUUUCUGUUUAAAGUCUCUUUUUAAGACUGUUCUAAUCAUUUGAAUCUGAAUAUGUGGGUCCACAAAGGGUUUAUGUUUUAUUUUAUUUAACAAAUUCUUAUACUUUGAUAUACCAAAUAAUACUCCAGGGACUUCAUAAGUACUAACUUAACCUUGUAACUGUAUGGUUUAUUUUACAACUAAUAAAAUUAAGUUGUUAUUUUUAUGAUAUGGCCUUAGGUUGGGGGAGACCAAUAAAUGUAUAUAGAGUAGAUAACUCAGCAGCAGGACUGAAAAGCUGUAAGAGUUUUGGGAAAGUAAGUCUACUUAGGACCAGGAAACUCAGCUGACCCAGUGUUAAAGGGACCAUCUCCUCUUUCCUCAACUUUAAGCCUUUGAGCUCUAGAAGCACUUUCCAGUGCCUGUUGAGCCUGGUGUGAUGGGCUGUACUGACUCCUGUGAUUCUUAACAUGGCUCCACAAGCCUUUCUGUCUUGCCUCCUCCUGGCAUUUGGCCCCUCCAAAGUUUAACUUCUCCCACAGCUGGAAACUUGGGCCUUGCAAGUAACAGUGGAGAUUUCUUUCCCCUAGACUUAACUCCAGCCCACUUCAUCCCUGUCCUUGCCCUUUGUGUAUUUCUUUGAAAACAUUUUUCAGUAGUGUUUAUGUGUGUUUUAUGAAAUUUAGACACUGAUGUCAAGCAAUAGAAUUAAAGGACAAAGCUUUCUUUUCUGUUGGGAUUGGAGGUAGAAGAAAAUGGGAAAGUAGGGACUAUCGAGAAGAUAGACAUUGCUGGAAAGAGGAGAUAUAUUGAUAGGGGGAAAAUGGUGAAAAAAAAUGGAGAGAAUUACUGAUUUGCUUCACGUCCGCACCUUCUCCCCAUUUUCACAGUAACAGAGGCAGUGUUGCCCUCUUUUGCCUGACAUGUGUUUCACCAGGGAGUUAUGUGGAGUGGGAGUGGAAAAUUUUUCCCUUUUGCAUUCUGAGGCUUGGGUGUGCUUCUUUAAGAUGCCACUGGUAUCUAAGCAAUGUUUGUUUAUACUGGAUAUUUUUUCUCUGUAGCCUUUGUAGAUGAGGUUUAUAAUACAAACAAAAAUGUUAGCAGACCUGCAGGUACUCCAUUGCUGUGUUUAUUUUAUUAGUUAAAAAACUGCUUGUGUCCUAGAACUUCGAAGCACAUUUAGAAAAUACCAGAGACAAUUUUAAGAGCAGCUUUAGAAAGAAAAAAAAAUUAAUAUAAAAAGUUAAGCCACACAUGCUUUAGAAUGCUAAUAGGGUAUAUAUAUGUGGGUAUAUAUAUAUAUAUAUAUACACACACACACACACAUAUAUGUAUUUAGAUUAGUGUUUCAAAGACUAAGUUAGAGUAAUUUGUUUCAUCAGUUGGAUUUUUUAAGUAUGUAAAAUAUUAUUCUUGUAUGUAAGUUCCCUUUUCUUAAUAGUCUAGGUAGGACACAAGUGUGGUACUUUUUUGUUCCCUAGAAAGUAAAACUAAGAAUAAGAACUCGUUUGGAAAUUUAAGAAAUUUUAGAUGCUGCUUAAAUCAUCUGUAAUGAUGCUUCUUGGUCAUAUCACAAGUCAGAAAGUAUUUCCUACUGGUUUAUGAUUGUAUUGGGAUUGAAUAAUUGAAAUUGUGACUCUUCUAGAAAAUGCAAGUGAUGCAUGGUCAGUGUUACUCUUUUUAUAAUUCAUUUUAUGGCUCUCUGAAGUCUUACUCUUUAUCAUACCUUCUGUAAAAAAGAGAUUUUUCAUUAGCAUUUAUGAAACGCACUCUAAGAAACAAAAUGUUAGGUUAAUCUAAAUGAUAAAAGUGUUUGAAUAAAUGCAUUAAUUAGUUUUCUGCUUAUUUGAGAGGCAGAAAGAGACAGGCAGAACAAGUCUACUGGUUCACUCCCCAGACAUCUGCAGUGGGCUGGGCUAGGCUGAAGUGGGGAUUCUAGAACUCAAUCUAGAUUUACCAUGUGGGUGGCAGGACCCAACUACUUGAGCCAUCACCACCACCUCCCAGAGUCUGUAUCAGCAGGAAACUGAAUCAGCCAGAGCCAGGCAUCAAAGCCUGGUACUCCAGUGUGGUGUACAGAUAUCCUAACCACUAAGCCAGAUAUCUGCCCCUAUUUUUACAUAGUUGCUCUUUUCCCAAGUGGGGUCGUGGUUUGGUUAGAUCCCCAUCUGUGGAACAAAGUAAACUAAAGAUUUUUUUUCUUGAUCAUUUUAUGGCAAUAACAUGUUCAAACAUUUAAGGAAUCACUAAUAAAUUACCUUUAGGGAAUAGAAAAGAGGAUAGGAAACUUUUUUAUUUGUCUUUUUUCCAAUUUUCUUUUUUCCCAGUCUUCCAUCCUUUCCUAUAGUCAUGGAAAUUUUUAUUUUCCUCCUCUGUCCUUCUCAUUGUGCAUCUUAGAUUGCCAACACACUAAGUUUUUCUGGAGUUAGUCAGAAAUGGAACUUAGGCCUAAAAGCUAGUGGAAACCAUCCCAUGCUUUUGCAGUCUGUCUUUCCUCACCAGAGGCAAGAGGAGCCAGACAGAAGUUGGUGGUUUGUUACUGUUGCCUCUGUGGCUGCCCUGUUUGGUUGACCUGAGCUUUUUACCUCCACUCUAGCGCUUAACAUUACAAAUGAAAUCAGGACCAGUCACACUGUAUUUUCAUCAUCAGCUUUCCCUAGUGGUUCACAUUUAGCACACACCUGCUGUGAGAACAUACUAAUUAGAUGAAUAUAGUAGAAUUCAAUCAUAAUACGGGUUUGAAAAUAACUAUUCUUUGAAUACAAGUAUGACUUUUAGGUGUUUACAAUUUUUUUGUUGAAAAUCUAUAAAAUCUUGACUUGAGCAACUGAGCUGCUGACAGCCCAAAACAGUUUAAGUCAAACAUUAACUUACAGUAAAGCUCUGCCAAAAAUGUCUUUGAUUUUGAGGUACACUGAGCCAUUUCAAGUUAAAUUGCCCUUUCUCAUGGAAUGGUGUAGAAGUCUUGCAACCUGAUAGAAAGAAAUAAGAGUUGUUGUCGUGUGUGCCUGUUUUCUGUAUGCUGUGUCACUAUUUGCUGCAGAUACAAGGUGUGUAAGUCUCUCUCCUUUCUCUGCUUAUGACCCAGUUCCCACGCCAAACAAUGCUGGAAACAAUUAAGAUCUUCUAUGGAAAGCUGCAUAAGUCAGCUACUAACUACUGUGCCUGUAAAUAUACCCUCAAACUAUUUUGUAGCCCUAUUUUUAAAAAUGUGUGGGUGUGGGAAGUGAUGUUGAAUGAAUUCAGGGUAAUUGGUGGCUCUUUAUAUUAGGAAAAAUCACACUAUUUAAGGGAAGUCUACUUCCAUGAUUUGUGUGUGUUUAAUUUUGUAAGAAUUCCUGCAACACUCCCUCCCUCUACUUCCUUCUCUACCUCAUAAAUUCAAGCAAUGAAAGAAUUAGAGUCAUGGGGUUUUAUAGCUAGAGGGAUUUAAGAGAGAAUCUGAUUAACCCUCUUACUAUACUUGAGGAAAUUGAUGUCCAGUGAGGUCAAAUGAGUUCAUGUAGUUAGUUUAAAAGCCCAAAUAAUGUUUUAGUAGUUUGUUCCUUUCAGCAGACACCAUUCUGUUUAACAUGCACAAACCUGUUCAUAAUCAAAAGUUAACAAUAAGAUAAUAUAACUAAUGUGUAUGUCUGUGUGUGUGGGGGGGGUAUUGUACAUGCCUCAGUCACUUCUCCAAAGAGUUCCAUGUGUAGGCAUCUUAGUUUCCAUUUGUGAAGUUAGCAGGUUCAGCAAGGGUAGGGGCCAUAUCAACACCGGCCAUCUAUCAGAAUGACCCAGUGCACUGUGUCUUCCCACCUUAGCAGAAUCAUUGACUGGUCUCAAGACAGUUCUGCCAGACCACUGGAGGAGAAUCACAUCUCCAUAUUAUGGCUCUGACUUUAAAUUUGAACAAAUCAUUAACUUUUGUCUCUAUUUCAUCACUUUUUAAAGGUGGAAUGGGGAAAUGCAAGUUUUAAAGAGCUGUGAGCGCUUAAAUUUUUCAAAAUAAAGAUACUACAUAAUUGUAGAUAAAGAGUGUUUUAAGAAUCUCCUAAUCAGUGUCUUAAAAAUUCAUCUAGUGCUUACAGACUAUCUACUAUAGGUAUGCAAGGCACAUUAUAGAAUGCUCCAGUAAACACAGUACCGAUUGAGAUAGAAUCAUGGCCUUCAUGGAAGAGACUUAUACAAUCUUCUCUCCUUUAAAAUAUUUAUCUUGAUAGAAAAUCAUUCAUAAGAAAUGUCUUGUUCCUGUCUACAUUACUCCACCAGUUUGAAAGAUACUAUUUCUUGUAUGUCUGAAAUGGGUCAGUUUUUUCUAAUAUUUGUACUAAAGAAUUUGCAUUAAAGAAAAUCUGUAAAGUACAGAAACAAAACAGAGGCAUUGUGGUGCAGCAGGUUAAGCCACUGCUUGGGGUGCCCACAUCUCAUACCCUAAUGCCUAGCUGGGUUCAAGUCCCACUUCUACUUUGGUCUAGCUUCCUGCUAAUGUACACCAAGGAAGGCAGUAAGUGAUGGCUCAAGCACUUGGGUCCCUGGGAGGCCCAGACUGAAUUUUGGGCUCCUGGCUUCAAACUCUCCAAGUCCCAGAUGUUGCAGGCAUUUGGGAAGUGAACAGUGGAUGAAAGAUUGAUCGAUCUCUCUCUAGCUCUUAAUCUCUUGCUGCUUCUCAAAUAAAUAAAAAAUAAAUAAUAGAACAUGUAAUAGACUACUUUCUAAUCUUUUUUAAAAAUUAUUCAUUGAUUUUUAUUGAUUUGACAGGCAGAAAGAGAAAUCUUCCAUCUGCUGGUACAUAUGCUUGAAUGUCCACAGCAGUCUGAGCUGGACCAGGCUAAAGUCAGCAGCUUGGAACUAACUCAGUCUGUGCCUGUGUGGAUGUCAGGGUCCCAAUACUUGAGCCAAGAUACAUAUUAGCAGGAAACUAGAACCUGAGGGGAGUCCAGACUUGAACCCAGACACUGCCAUGUGGGAUAUGAGUGUCCCAAGAAGGAUCCUAACUACUGUGCCAAAUGUCUGCCUUUCUUAACUUUUUUUAGGCAUGCCAGAAUCACUUGACAUGCUUAGAAAUUGAUAGAAAAUCAACGGUGUGUGUUUGAUCUAAACUAGAAAUGCAUUUAAUUGUGAAAUUUAUAAACAAUAAUUUUUUAAAUAUUUAUUUGAAAGAGUUACAGAGAGAGAAGGAGAGACACAGAGAGAUCCUCCAUCCACUGGCUUACUCCCUAAAUGGCCACAAUGACCAGGUUUGGGCCAUGCCGGAAUCAGGAGCCAGUAGCUUCUUCUAGGUCUCCCACAUGGGUGCAGGGGCCCAAGCGCUUGGGCCAUCUUCUGCUGCUCUUCCUAGGCCACCAGCCAGGAGCUGGAUUGGAAGUGGAGCGGCUGGGAUAGGAACAGGUGCCCAUGUGGGAUGCUGGCAUUGCGAAAUGGCAGCUUAACCCACUAUGCCAUAACUCCAGCCCCAAAAUAAAUUUUUUUAAAUGCAGCUCCCAUUAUAAGAAUGUGUUUCUCCAUCUUUAUUUAUGACUCUGAAAGUAAAGUACCAAUCAUGUUAAGCUUUAACUGUGCGGCAAAUUUAAUAGCUUUGCUCUUUUUUUCCUUUUUUAAAAAAGGCAGUUUGAAUUCUGAGUUCUGCCAUGUGAUUAUUACAGUGUGGUUCAUCCUAAAUUCACCAAUAAUGUUCUUUUGGAAAUCCAGUCUUCUGUUUCAGCAGAACUGAGACUGUAUUUCCUAGGAAGAGCUGCUCUUUUAAAGGACUCCUGGGGCAGGAGCCCCCAGGAGGAAAGAGUUGAGCCAGCAGGUGGUCUGAGGGAGGCUGUCUGGGAACUGCUGACUGUGGAGAACCUGAGAGAAGGGAGGAAGCUUCUGUGGGAGGAAUAGGAUGGAAAGUCCCUUAUUAGCCUGGGGGCUGGGAUGGGCUGACCCUCCGGAAUCCCCCUCCCUAGAGAGAACGCCUGCCAAAGCAGGAGAGGCAGAUGGGGGUUGGAGGGCAGAAAGCAGGAUGAUAACAACCCAAAAGCUUUCUGAUAGGUUUUUUGAGAGCUCCUGUCUGGGAUGCUUGGCCUAUAUAGUAAAUCGGUUUUUUCUUAGACAGCUGGCAAGUGAAUAAAUAUGCCAGACAAUGAGUGAGUUGCUCUUACCACCAAAGAAUCUGCAUAUUUGUUUCUACUCUUGGUGUUUUUUUUUUUUUCUUUUCAUUCCUUAACUUCUUAUGCCCAAUUUACAUUGAGAACAAUUAUUGGGACUAUGAAUAUUAACUAUCUCCCAUGUAUUCAAACCCAUACUCCCCUGCUCCACAAAUGAUUCAGAGAGGCUUACAUAAACAAAACAUCAUAACAGGACAGGGAGUAAUAGAUGUGAUUCCCCCACUCUGGAGACAGUCUUCUCAUCUGUAUGAUGAGAGAGACAGGCAUGUGAAGGUAGCUGCUUUAUGCCGCUGUGGCAGCAGUAACAGGAGACUGCAUUGACAUUGCUUGGUGUACAAAAAAUAUUCAGUUGAGGUUAUAUUAAGGCCAUAAAAUUGCUUAAUUCUCUAUUUUUUUUACUUUUUCAUUAGAGAAUACUCAUUGAACUAAAAUAUUUUUAUUCAUGACUACAGUUGUAGAGAUUUUAUUCUCCUAACUGUAAGCUUUAUACUAUUCAAGCAAAUGCUUUUCUUCCUAGAAUUUGAGUUUCCUAACAGUCUUUCAAGUGUGGUACAACUCAUGAGAAAUUGUUCCUAAUAAGUUCAUAGAGCCUUCGUCCAUUUUUACAAGGCAAAGGCCAGGUCAGUCUGUAUUUGUGUUCAUUGCAAAGAAAAGCAAGGGAAGGUUUCUCAUUACCAGCAUUAGUGAGGGUUAGAUACCUGGGAUUAGGCUAAAGACAUGUGGGCUACUGAGUGUGAAAGACUGAACCACAAAAUGUGAAGAUUAAUUUCAAAGGGCAGAAUUUUGCACAUUUGUGUCAUUUCUAUUUCAGGUCAGAUCUUUGUAUGCUUUCUACAAAAGGAGGCAGAGACCACUUGUGUUUCUUGUCAUUAGGUGUGCUUUCUGAAGGGACAGGACAGGGCAGAGUGUGGAAGGAUACAGAGCCUGGGCACAUGGCCCUGUGUGGACAUGGAACACUUCUAUUCCUGGAGGGCUGCUCAGACACUCAGAGGCCAGAAGUACAGAGGUCAGGGGACAUAGGAGGAAAAAGGUGGAAGGGAGGGAGAUGCGUCCUUGUAGAGGUGGACAGGAUAGCCUAUGUGUACCCCUGCAUUCCCAUGGACAUAGGAGAUUCCUAAUAUAAAUAAGUAGACAGUAUAUAGGUAGGUAGGUCAGUUGGUAGAUGGAUGGAUGGAGUGAAUUAGUAGUAGACUCUUCCAUCACCUGCUCAUAAGUGCCUAAAAUCUCACUAUUAAGUAUGGGCUGUUCCAUUGAAAGAUUCUGGUAACUUAAAAUACAGAGUUUUUUUUUUUAAUUUUUUUUUUUUUUUGACAGGCAGAGUGGACAGUGAGAGAGAGAGACAGAGAGAAAGGUCUUCCUUUGCCGUUGGUUCACCCUCCAAUGGCCGCUGCAGCUGGUGCGUUGAGGCCAGCGCACGGCGCUGAUCCGAAGGCAGGAGCCAGGUACUUAUCCUGGUCUCCCAUGGGGUGCAGGGCCCAAGCACUUGGGCCAUCCUCCACUGCACUCCCUGGCCACAGCAGAGAGCUGGCCUGGAAGAGGGGCAACAGGGACAGAAUCCGGUGCCCCAACUGGGACUAGAACCUGGUGUGCUGGCGCCGCAAGGCGGAGGAUUAGCCUAGUGAGCCGCGGUGCCAGUCGUAACAUAGAGUUGAGUAUGUGAGUGGCAGAGGGUUCAGGGUAACUUGAGUAACUGUAAUAUUUUAAGUUGUUCUUAGUUAUGCAUGGCCUGGGGACAAUGUAGGAUUAUGUAGUCAGUUAAGAGGGUUCCAGAUUAAAUGGUUUUAUGAUAGAUAGGAAAAAUUCUGAAACUUUAUCUGGGACUGAUCCUAAACUCUCUACCAUCAGAAUAAAUUAAACAGUCCUCCAAAGGGUUGAAAUAAAAUUGCUGUGGGAAAGAUUAUAAACCCAGAUGUCCAGAGUAGCGCUUUUGAAUGGGAAGGCUUUUUGAGACUUUGUCUAACCAGGACUAAAACACAGCCAGGUUUCAUACAGUUUUGACCUUGCUAAGUUGAUUUCUGUGGGCAUAUCCAGGAUUGUACAGGACAAAUUAGGGUGUGAUGUGUUAAACAUGUUUAGGUCUCAUUCAGCAUCUUACUGAAAUAAAUCUGCUUUAUCUUUCACAUAGUUCUUAUCUAACAUAUCUUGCUAAAAGUGACUGUGAAGUCUUGUAGUGAUGCUUGUUAAAUGCUCUUCCAUUUAUGAACUCCUGUAGCUAAGAUCUUACAGUCUUGCAUGCUUUGUUUGCAGACUUUUUUUUACCUUGAUUCAUAAAGUUCUGAGCAAGAGGCUUGAUUUUCAAAGUUGUGUAAAAGUUCGGUAUCUCCUCAUGUUCAUUGAAUUAAUUAUUUGAGGUUGUUUGCUUUGUGCAUAGUAGUGAUUUCCAAUUUCUAAUUUUUUAAUUUAAGUUAUUGUCAAAGUGGUAAGAUUCCAUAGCAAGGUAGGGAAUCUGUUACUUUGAGAAAAAUGUAGGGGAGUAAAAACAUUUUCUUUUUGUAAACAAUUACUGACACACAAUAUCCUCCCAGGGUGUAAGGCUUGGUGUUUGUCUGUUUUAAUUAAAGAGUACCCUGCCUGUCCCUUCCUGACUAACUUUAAAGAAUUGGGUGUCUUGGUGAGAAGUUCACAAGGUUGGUAGCUGUAGCUGAGUCUGGUGGAUUGACUCAAGCUCUAGUCAGCAGUGGUAUAUGAAUGCCAAGUACUAAGAAUUUCUGGAAUGUAGAGUUGCACAGCACUGAUAAAGUUUGCUUUGUUCCCCUAUGUGACUUGACCCAUUGAGAAAAUGUGGUUCCCUAGGAAGUUUUAAUAGUUCAAAGUCUUUAGUUAAUAAAGAAAAAGGCCACAACAUAAUUCAGCUUGUUUUCACCUGCUGCCUCAAAGAUUAACUUUUUUAACCUUGAUGGGAUAGAGUUACCCUUUGCUUUGAAAAAGCAAUUUAUAGAGCUUUUCACAUUUGCUAGUUUCAGUAAACAUGAUGCUGCUUGUAUGGAUUUUGUUUUUGGUUGGGACUUUAUCACAAACUAAAAACUUCUGCAACUUCAGACCCUUAUGGUAGGUAACUUCAUUUAAAAACAAUCUCUGGGAAAGCCACACCCAUUAUUCUGUAUCAGCUAAUCUGUCACUGGACUCAGAAGGAUUUUGAAUUAGUUCAGGAAAGUCGUGAGUGAUAGAACUUAACUUUCAGUUUUUCUCAUUUAUUUUCAUAAGAGAAUGGGAGUGGAAUUCAAAACAUUCAAAUUUGGAGUUAAUGUGCGUCACUCUGUUGCAAGUGAUAGGUUCUGUGUUUUUCCAGUGGGAAACUUUGAUCUUCCAGCCCAUCUGUGCCUGUGAUAUACCUCCCUAAUGCAUGCCAUUUUUUCUCCUGAUUGUUGUUACGCUUUCAAAAAUCAGCUGACUGUACAAAUCCUCUGGGAACAGAUUUCAGAACAAAAGUGGUCUAGAAAAGCAGCACGUAAGUCUUUUUUUUUUUUUUUUUUUUUGGUCAAGAGUUUACAACUUUCCAAAUAACCCUUUACUAUUUUGUUAAUAGCCAGUUAACUGCAGUAUUUAUUGUGAAAUGUACACUUUAUGAUGUUAACAUAAUGUAGCUCCUGUGUUUAGUCACGUUUACUCAAAAAAGGAUUUUAAUUAUGUAAUGCAAGUUGGACUCUGUUAAAUAAGCUGACCACUUGCCUAUUUGUUUCUUGGGCUGACAGUAACGAUAAAAUGCGUUUGCACGUGUUAUCUGAGUAUAUCACAACAUCCUGUAGAAAUUUGGCACACAGAUAAUAGACUUCUAUGGAGCUUUUUGUUGGUUUCGAGUUUGAGACAUUUUCUAGAAUAUUUCUGUUUGGACCAGGCUUUGGUAAUUUACCUGUACAUCUUGGAAACACCUGCAGGGGACUGUUCUUCAGGUUAAGCAAACAGAAAGUUAAAGAAGGCGUGUGGCUGCUGGCAGUGAGCGACUGUAAACAUCCUCGACUGGAAGCUGUGAGGCGCAGACGGGCUUUCAGUCGGAUGUUUGCAGCUGCCGACUGCCCCCGACUUCCAGGAGCUACUCCAGGUGCCCUGGCGUUGUGUGCUGAAACUGAGUAGCUGGCUUUCUUGCCAGUUUGUUUUUACAAAUUCUGGAUGAAAGUGGUAUAAAGCAAAUAACUUUUUAAUCAUAUCUGUACAUUUGUAGAGGACUUUAGCAGAGCAGGAGGAGACGUGUUGUGUAUGUGCGUAGAAUUUGCAAUAUAAAAAAAAGUAACAGUGUUCCUGAGGAAAUACAUUAUUGUAUUUUUCUUCUUAAUUUCUAUUUAUCUGCAUUACUUGAAAAGAAAAACUAGCAAAGUCAAACUGAAGAAUUAAUUCACUUUCAUAUCCUCUUAGAUUCAGGCUUUAAGUAAUAAAGUAGCAAUUUUCAACUUAAUGAAGUGUCUAAAAAUAAACCAAUAGUGACUCAAGUAACUCUUAUUUGAAAAAUCUAUUUGUUCUUGUUUUAGCUGAUCAGAAUAGUAUUAUAGACAUUUGUUGAUGCUUCAACACUAGCCGUUCCAUUGAACAGUUAAAUUUGGUUUAGGGUAAUAACUUAUCUCUUUAAGAUAAUAAAUGCAUCAAACUCUGUCCUAAGUAUGUAAAGGCAAUUUAUGUUUGAGAAUUCUGUCAUAGAUCUCUGUGAAGAGCCUGAUUUCUAAUUUGUCUUCUUUGAAAAUCUGUUUUUCUUAUGGCAGAUUUGUGUAAUAUGAGUCUUUAUUCACAUAAGUGUUAGAAAUAAGACCCUUAAACAGAGAUGAAGGUGACAUCCUUUGUUUUCUAAAACACUGUAUUUUCUAAGUAUGUAGUGUUUUCAUAAUGUGAAAAUAAUGGCUUUUGUCUAUUGCUUUAUACCCAUUGAUGAUGUUCAAUAGAGGUGGUAUUAAAACAGUGUGAUUAUUUUGACAUUCUAAUAGAGAUGGAGAGAGAGAUUAUAUAUAGAGGUGCCUUUAAAUUUCCUUCAUAGGUAAAGUGAAAACACUCCAUUAGUCAUGCUGGGCCAUGAGAGGUUAGUAAACUGACACUGAAAUGCAGGGGGGAGGGAAGCCCUUCAGUAGGCCCUGGGGUCUGGAAUUGAGUAUGUAGCCUGUUUUAAUAGCUAAACCAAAAUCACUUAGAGCAAAUAACUCAGCUGUGUCCUAGGGAACCUGACCAUAUUUUGCAGGUAAAUGACUAUAGGUUUGGAGAAAUGGGCAGGCUUCUCCUAAUUCUGUGACCUUGCCUUCUUUAGGUUCUUUCCUUGAGUUAUUUCAUGUCUCCUGCCUUACCUCACUGCCCUCUAAAUUUUCCAUUCUAUUUGGUUAUUUCCUUCAUGUAAGUAAUUAGUCAUUGGAAUUGUUUUGAACUUGUAAAAACUACAACACCCUUUAAUAAUCUUAAACCAACCAGUUUAAACCUCUGUAAGCCAUUCUGGGUAUUUUUGAAAUUAAUGCCCAUUAUUUGUUAUGUUUAUGCCCUCACAUUUCCACAGUAACAAUCUAAAAUGCUAUUUUAAAAUAGCAUCAACAGUAUGCUAUUUAUAGUUGAAAUAAGAUCUGGAUGCAUUUUUUUUUAUUUACAAAAAAAAAUCCCUUUCAAAUUUACAGUGUUACCAUUCACUUAAGAUAAAUUAAUAUUUAACAUAAAUCAGAAACUAGCGCUAAUUGCUUUCAUGUAUCUUUUUCUCAAUGUAAUUUUUUAAGUCUCAUUGAUUUAUGAACUAGAAUUUACAAUUCUUAAAGUGGACUGCAGUAGGUCAGUUCCUGAGAAUAAAAACACUGUCAAAAUGUAUGCUAGAUAGGUGUAACUGAAGAAUGGCUGUAGAGUCAGUACCACACUGAGUAAUCAUAACUAUUGUACACUUAGGUUUUUUUUAACUUUUUUUUUUAAAUAUUUAUUUAUUUACUUGAAAGAGUUACACAGAGAGAGGAGAGGCAGAGAGAGAGAGGUCUUCUAUCCGAUGGUUCACUCCCCAGAUGGUUGCAAUGGACGGAGUUGUGCUGAUCCGAAGCCAGGAGCCAGGAGGUUCUUCCGGGUCUCUCACGCGGGUGAGGGGCCCAAGGACUUGGGCCAUCUUCCAUUGCUUUCCCAGGCCAUAGCAGAGAGCUUGAUCGGAAGUGGAGCAGCCGGGUCUCGAACCAGCACCCAUAUGGGAUGCUGGCACUUCUGGCCAGGGUGUUAACCUGCUGCGCCACAGCGCCAGCCCAAUACUUUUAAAACUGUAUUAAAUUAUAACAGCUUUAAAAGUGAAAUCAUAGAUGAACUCAAUGAGUUGUCCAAUGUGAACACCCCUUCCGAACACAUCCAGAUAAAAAAAAAAAAAAAGGAACAUUUCCAACCCCCUAGGUGCAACCCAUGCUUCCUUCUAGUCACCAGGUUUUUUUAUUUUUUUUAUUUUUUUGACAGGCAGAGUGGACAGUGAGAGAGAGAGACUGAGAGAAAGGUCUUCCUUUGCCGUUGGUUCAGCUUCCAGUGGCCACCGAGGCCAGUGCGCUGCAGCCGGCGCACGGCGCUGAUCCUAAGGCAGGAGCCAGGUACUUAUCCUGGUCUCCCAUGGGGUGCAGGGCCCAAGCACUUGGGCCAUCCUCCACUGCAUCCCUGGCCACAGCAGAGAGCUGGCCUGGAAGAGGGGCAACCGGGACAGAAUCUGGCGCCCCGACCGAGACUAGAACCUGGUGUGCUGGCGCCGCAAGGCGGAGGAUUAGCCUAGUGAACUGCGGUGCCAGCACUCUAGCCACCAGUCUUAAGAGUGAUCACUGUUGGGGCCAGAGCUGUGGAGCCUACACUUGCACCUCCAGUUCAUUUCCCAGCAGCUCCUCUUCUGAUCUGGCUCUCUACAAUAGCCUGGGAAAUCAGUAGAAGAUGGUUCAAGUCUGCACCUGCAGGAGACCCAGAAGCAAUUCCUGGCUCCUGGCUCCUGGCUUCAGAUGGGCCCAGCUCCUACUGUUGCGGCCAUUUCAUUUGGUGGGGAGUGAACCAGUGGAUGGAAGACCUUUCUCACUCUCCCCCCGCCCCUUUCUCCCUCUCCCCCUCCCUCUUUCUCUCUCCCUCUCUUCCCCUCUCCCUCUCCCUCUCCUUUUCUCUUCCUCUUUUUGUACAUUUAUUUUUUAUUUAUGACCUGUCAAAGCAAAAAUUGGUGCAUUUCUGUAAGGGCGAUUCCUAAGCGAAGUGUGACGAAUUUCUAAAAGUAGCAGUGGUGGUUCUUUAAAUGAUAUGUACUUUUCCUGACUUUAAAAGUCUGUCUUUGAACCUGCAUUUUAUUUUGUUGUGAUGCUGUGUAUAAACAUCAGACAUGGGCAGAGCCCUUCCUGUACUAAAGAAUAGCUUCAACUGGGGUGAGGACUGUGCAGAAAAGGGAGCUGUCUCUGAAGGCCAUCCUGUGUGGGAAUGAGUUUGGUACCUGGACCUGCUUGGCUGGAUUGCUAUCAAUGUUGUCUUGUUUUCUUUCACUAAAAUUUCACAUAUAUAUUACCAUUUGGGGGAAAAAAAUCUUUCCUCAGUAGUGUUAAUCUUUGGUGACUUAAUAACACUGACAUGAAGUUACCACUUUUUUUUUUUUUUUUGCUGCUGCUGCUGUUAUCAGAAGGGUAACAGAAAUUUGAUUAUUUGUCUUCAGUCUUCAUUUUUGAAGUGACUUACUAAAAUCUUAAAAGAUGAUCAUAAUGAACCAUCCUAGCAGUCCCUUUGAAAUAGUGGAGAAGACUUUCUUCACAUGGCACUGCAUCAGAAUAAAUAUUCCAAGUAGAUAUGGAAGAUGUAUUUGAUAGUCUGUAUAGAGUUGUGUGCACUGCCGAGAAUACAGAACCAAGCUUAAAUUAUUAGAGAUUAAGUUGUUUAUGAUUAUUUUUCAUCUGCAUUUUACUCCUCUUAAUGGUAAAAAAAUCAGUAAAUAAGAUUUAAAAACUUACCUUGUUGAAUAUGCUUAUUAUUAGGAAUAAUCAAUGAAUUUAAUACUCUGUAAUAUACUUCUUUAGUUGUUAUGCACAGACAUGUAUCUCUUACUAAUAUACAUUUAAAAUCUACAGCAUGAAUGUGGUGGACAAGUUAAUGUUUCCAAGUGAUACUCUGCCUUUCUAAAUGUUUAUAUCUAAUUAUUAUAUAAAGUUAAUGAUGCGGUACUUUCGAGAGAUGAGGAUUUUUUUUUGUCUUGAUACAAAUUAAAACAAAGUAGGUUAGGGAUUCAUUUAGCACAAACACUAAAUAUGAUUUUACUGUCCCCAUAGGGUUCAGGGUCCCACAUGGUUAGAGAAAUUAAUGAAUAAACUCAAUCAGGUACCUUUACAACUCUGAAUAACAUCAGAAUCUCUUCACAGCUCUCACUUCAAAAAUGAAACCAGGAGAGCUCAGGGUGUGAUAUACUUUACUGGACAGUGUAGUAGAACACAUGAAAUGUUAUACAGUGUAAUAAUGUUAUAAUAAGCUCAUUAUUCUCAAUGUGUUUCCUCUCUGGGCCCAACUACCUUUUCUGAGUUUUCAAUUUGAUGUCUUUCUUUUAGCUAAAAAGUUAAACUCUUGAAAAGAGCAAAUGAAUACUUAUAGCAGUAAUCUGUAAAUGAAGGAAAAGUUAUAUAAAAGCUAAAGAAACACAUGCAGUGAAGUAUAUAAAUAAAUGCCAAUGCCAUAAAGCUGUAGCACUUGCAGUCUUGAUUCUCAGUAGAAAUAUUAUUUAUUUGCAGGAUGUGCCAUGUUAAUACAAUAGAAACAUUGUGUAAAUGAAUAUUUAUUUGCACUGAGUGUAACCAUGCUGAAAUGUUAGGGAUUUGGUAAAAUCUGCAAAUUCAGAAAUUCAACUUUGAGUAUUCAUAUCUUGCAUAUAAUCUUUCUAAGUAUACAUCAAAGAACUGGUUUUGCUAAACUUCUUAAAGGGUAGAUUCCUUACUAUUUAAUUAUCAUGCUAGAUUAAGAUUAUCUUUGAAAUUAUAAUCUUUAUGGACUAGAAAAUUUAGUUUCCAUUUUUUCGUUUUCUAUGUUUUCAUUCAUUAGUUUUCUUGACUAUUUCAGUUAUAAUAUCUCUCUGAUUCUGAUUCUGCUGUGUAACCCAAUCAAUCUGUAUUUUACUUAAACUAAGUUCUGAUGGUCAGAUAUUGAUUAGAAAAUUUGUGCAGUUUAUUCAUAGUAAGAAUAAUGUUCAGCUUUGUCUUGAAGGAAGUUAUCUUAGUUUUCUACACUUUAGCUUUAGGUUCUAGGCUGAGUUUAUUGUUUUCUUGCAACUGGAUCCUAAACCUCUUAGUAAAUAAAAGUAAAUCAUCAAAAGUUAUGAGAAAUUCUGAAAAAUUCAGAUUUCAAUUUGUCAAAAUUCAGUUUCCUGAAAUGAAACUUAUGUGUUCUUUUUAUAAAGUAAACUCUCAUUAGUUAAUACAAAUUUAAUUCUUGUUGAAUAUGUUUGAUGUGGUAAUAGCUAAUUAAAAUCACCUUCUAAAAACAGUCAUUCAGUUUACCACCUGAGAAAACACUAGGACUAGUGCUGGAGAGGGUAGUGUUAUGUCUAAGAUAGCAAACAAGCUCUCGGGCUGGCGUGAGUAGUCCCAUCCUAUGGAUCUCAGGACGUGGUAAAUUAUAGCUCUUGGUGUGACUAACACCUUUCUAGCUCUCAGGAGAAUAUCAGUGAAGGCGGAAGGAUUUUUUUCUUCUCAUGCAAAAUGGUUACUGUAGAUCCUAAAUUAAGAUAGAACUUAAAGUUGCUAAAGUGCAUAAAUGCUGUGUUGCCCCUCUUUUAGAUCCUCUUCUAAAGAGAUCUUUGUGAUCUGGCUCAUGCCCCAUCUUCUCUAUACCCCAGUUUUCUAAACUCCAGCCAUGCUGCCUUUAAAUUCAUCCAACAACCUUGUUCUCUGUUCCCUCCAAUCCCAAAACUUUUGCCUUAACUCUUUCCUCUUCACAGAUGCAAUACUUUUACUUUACCUACCUUCUUCUACACAUUCACCAUUCUUGCACACACACAUGCAUAAAUACACUUAUUCUUUAGGUCUCAAUGUAAAUGUCAUCAUCUCUGGAAAAGAAUUCCCUUUUACCUUCUCCUUUUUGGCUCCUCUUCUGUCCUGAGACAGGAAUCACAAGAAGUAGCCUGCCAUGUGAUAUUGUGGGAGGCAGAAUAUCCCAGGCAGAGGGAAAAGCAAGUUUACCUAACAAAAUUGGAACAUGCAUGGGGCCAACGUGGUAGUACACUAGAUUAAUCCUAUGCCUGCAGCGCCGGCAUCCCAUAUGGGCACCAGGUUCUAGUCCCAGUUGCUCCUCUUUGAGUCCAGCUCUCUGCUGUGGCCCAGGAAAGCAGUAUAAGAUGGUCCAGGUGCUUGGGCGCCUGCACCCGUGUGGGAGACUGAAAGGAAACUCCUGGCUCCUGGCUUUGGAUCAGCACAGUUCUGGCCAUAGCGGCCAUUUGGGGAGUGAACCAACAGAAGGAAGACCUUUCUCUCUCUCUCUCUCUCUCACUGUCUGUAACUCUGUCAAAUAAAUAAAUAAAUAAAUAAAUCUUUAAAAAAAAAUUGGAACAUGCAAAACUGAUAAAGUAUUUUGGUCCAAAGCAAAACAAGCCAGAGAGGUAAGCAGAUAAUUGCAGAGCAUUGUAGGUCACAGUGAUGAGUUUGAAAUUUACUAAUAGUCAUUGGAUUAGUGUUUGUUAUUAUGAAAUAUUCUUUAAAUUAUAAAUAUAGUUGAAUUGAAUGGUAGGACUUUGGUCAUAGUGACUGACCUUUCUGGAAUGUGAGCAACCUAAAACAAAACGUGAUAACAGCUUAUUUUGAUAAAUAUUGAAUGUUUAAUUGUAGAAAGAAUAAUGAGUGUUAGUGCCUGAAGGAUACAAAGUUGUAAGUGUGGAAUAAUGAGAUGAUAUGUGGACUAGAGACCCAGGAUUACCUGGAUCCCACCUGAGACCAUUCAGUGCUCCCUGAAAAUAUCUCACAAAAAUACAUACUAAGAAGAAGAAAAGCAAAAGAAUAAUCUUACACUAAGUAGGACAUCCACUCCAACACCAAUAUAUAAUUUUAAUGAACUAGUGCUGGAAUCGUUUGUUUGAUAUCCUUUUAGUCUCUAACCCAUAUUGAGCACAGUUCUCUGUGAGGUAUUGAAGAAGAUAGAUGAUUAACUGAGAAGAUGAAAGCGAAAUUAAACUUGAGACUUAUCCCAGGGCAUAUAGUAUAGUUCUUAUUCUUGGGAGAAAGAACAUCUACAAGGAAGUCUGGGCAGUUUAAGCUGAAAAAAUUGUAGGUGGUAUUUGAAGUAUGCUUUCCUCAGGUUAAGGGUAUGAAGGCAUACUGUGAUAUGUUUCAAGAUAAAUGUUUGAAGGCAGGGAGAGUGUGUGCCUGGAGAGAUUGCCACGUCCAGCUGGAUUGCAGUCUGACUGGCCCCUCAGCAGGUAACAGGAAUCUUGGAAGCAAUAUAGUCAGGAAUAUUGUGGAGGUUUUGAAAAUGUGCAAAAAUACUGCUCUAAGCUUAUGGCAAGCUACACAUUUAAAUAGUGUUGAAUUAUAGGUUGAAGUUAUUAUGCAGACAUAUUUUGCUUUCCUUGAAAGCUGGAAAACAAGGGCUGGCUCUCACUGCAUCUGUAAAUAGGCUGCUAUCUGUUUUUCUUUUUUUUUUGUAGUUAUAAAGCAUCAUUCAUGCCAGCAUAGUUAAUGAGCUCCAGCAGCUGUUAAAUGAUAUUAUAUAUUCUCUGCAGCUAGGGCUUCUGAUGCUGCCAUUGUCUUCUGGCCAUCUUGGUGUCUUCUCUAGCAUCCUUCUAAACCACAGUCACUCAGCCCAUGAGAUUCUGAGGUCUGUGUCAGACCAGGCCUGCAAAGGGAGAGGCUCUUUUGGCAAAUGGCAGCCAUGAGAUGAUACUGCCUUUAUAAUUGCUACCUUCUUUAACAAAGGCUGAGAGUAAUGCUAUGGGUCACUAUUCACGAUUUUCUAAACUGGCUUUCUAAAACAAAAUUACUGUCCAUCAGAUGAUGAAUAGGCACUAACUUUCAGUCUUCCAAAUAGGAAAUUUGACCAACUUCACAGGCAGCCUAAAGCUGAAGGAAUUAAAUGAGGCUUGAUUCUUCUUGUUCUUCAAGAUCUAUCUUUGUUCCACACCUGUCACUCAUGGAGCUUCCUGUUCAGGUGUUUAUAAAAUUGAAGAUUGUUCAAUUCCCCUAGUCCAUUAUUGCUCCAAAUUCAGACUUUUAACAUGGUAUCUUCCACAAUGAUUUCUCUGAGAUAAUCAGUUUCCCUUGGCAUACUCUAAAAAGAUGCCCACUUCUAGUGUGCCACAAGGAAGUCAAUCCUCAUUCUGGUACCACCAGGCUCCAUUCUGGGUUGUUGAUAUGUGGGAUGAUGACCUCCUCUGAGCUAUGCUCAAUUUGAUCCUCAUCUGACUGUGGUGGUGUGGUGGUCUUGUUAUAGUUGGCACUUUCCGAUGGAAAGAUGGUAACUCCAAGUUGGGAUUAACUGUGCAAGUCUCUUUCAUUGCCCAGCAGUUACGAAACUCUGUACUUUUCCAUGCCUGCAAUGCCCCUGCCUCCCUCCAGACACCUGAUUCUCUCUCUUCCUUCAUCAAAACAAUAACUUAGUUUUUUAUUUUCCCCAUAAACACAUCAUAGCCUAGACAGCUCAUAGCAAGAGCCUUGGGUGAUUGCUGACGUCAUGAAUAAGAGUGCCAAUUGUUAAAUCAACAACGAGAGUCCCUGGGUACAUGCUCCCGACGUAGGAUCUCUGUCCUUAAUGUGUUUUACUAUGAAACUUAAAAACAACUCACUACUAGUCAAACAAUACCCUAUACCUUGUGCGGUUGUGUGAGGGCAGCCUGUUGAAAUCCUUGCUUAGUAUAUACUAAGUUGAUCUUCUGUAUAUGAAGGUAAUUGAAAAUGAAACUCAAUGAAGGGCGGGAUGGGAGAGGGAGUGGGAGAGGGGAGGGCCGCGGGAGGGAGGGAGGUUGGGGGGGAAGCCAUAACAAUGCAAAAGUUGCACUUUGUAAAUUCACAUUUAUUAAAUAAAACACACACACACACACACACACACGGGCAAAAUAUUUACCAUAAGAAAAAAAAUACUUGCUAGGCAUUGUUUGUCUGUAACAUGACAAAAACAGGUUUAUGACUUCUAGGUCACCAUUAAGUAGCUACUAAAAGACAAUUUAUGGUGACAUGUUAGUUUAAACCAAUCAAAUGAUAUUUAAGAGCCAACUAUAGGAGAAUCAGAGAAAUAACCACAGGUAACAAAGAUGUUUUAUGAGUAGAUGUAACAGGUAUAAUACAGCUUUUUUUCUUAGUCUUUGUAUUUUUAUGACCCUUAACCUUUCAUAGAUGGUCAGUUUUUUGUUAUUUAUAAACUGGAGCUGUUUACCAAAUUGAUAUUACAUUAUUUAUAUUUUAUAAUUAAAAAAUACUUAUUUGAGGGGCAGAGACAAAGAGACAGAACCCCUAUCCAGUGAUUUAUUUCACAGAUGCCUGCAACAAAUAGCUGAGGUUGGGCUGUGCUGAGUCUGGAGCUUGGAACUCAAUCUAGGUUUUCUUCAUAGGUGGCAGAUAUCCAUCAGUUGCUGCCUCACAGGAUCUGCACUGGCAGGAAGCUGAAGUUAGGAACUGGAGCCUGAACUCAAACCCAGAUGCUGUGAUGUGCAACCUUGGGUAUUUUAGCUAGCAUUGUCAUGGGUUGGGCAAAUACCCACCCCAAUUGUGUUAUUCUAAGUUGCAUCUUUUUGCCUUUAAAAUUACAGCAAUAUAUACAUGUUCUUUUAAUCUCUUCACUUUUUACACAUCUUCACCUUUGAAGAUGAAGUUAGUUUCAAUGAAAAGCGAUAAGGAAAAAACCUUGAAGAUCCAAACAUUGCUAUAGUAAGAGAAAACCGCAAGAGCUUUACUCAUUUUGGUCUCUGUUUCUAUUACUAAGGAGAUGUCAGAACUAUUCUGGAAACUAUGUUAUACUGUACAACUAGAGCAUAACUAUCUGCUGACACAUAGGCCAUCUCUGAAAUAUUGCUUAGUAACACAGUUUCAAAUACUCUGGUGCCAUCUCAGCUAAAGUAAUCUUUGAACAACAAGAGUCUUUUCUUUGCUUCAUAGAUCUUCUCAGAGAUAUGUGAUAAGUGGCAUAUAUUCAAAGACUGCUACAGUAAUCGUUUUCAUGUAGCUUAGCCAGAAACAUUCACUCUGUUAACAUAGUGGGCAUCUAAGACUGUCACUGGCGUUGUGCUGCACAGCAGAAGUAUUGACCUGCUGACUGAACAAAUGGGAUCCCUAGAAUGACUUACUAAAUUCCAACUUGCUAGAGCAUUUCACCCUUUUUCUCCCACAAAACUUCUUACUUUUUAUUAGAUGAAUACAUUUAAACUCUUGCAAGCAAAUUGCAGUUUCCCACUGUUGAUAUUUUAAGAAUAGCAUUUGGAUGAGUUCUGUUGAUGCAAAACAAAUAACUGUGUUUGCAUCUGUGCAAAUAUUUAUCUAAAAUUGCAUUAGUAAAAAUCCCAGUGACCUUCAGGUGUAAUUGCUGUACCUUACAUCAUUUGAGACAGUCAUGGAACUACUGUUACUUUACGGACCAUGGGUCACUUCAUUUCAGUGUUUCCUUUAGAGGACUAUUUGGGAGACUCCCUUCCAAUAGAGGAAGUGGGUUGAUGAGGACAAGUGUUCUCAUUCCAGAUCCUUCACAUCUCUGGAAAGCUGCAUCCUCUGUAGAAAAUAGAUCUGUACGUGUGCCAAAGUGUAACUGAUGUUCAUCAGGGUAUGGGGAGGAGGCCACAAAUUCCUUGUCUGUUUCAGCAGUAAUCCUCCCAUUUGGCAGCAGUUUGAGAGGAAGUAUUUAACAAUGGGAUUUUAUAAAAUUCAAUGUAGUAAAGAAUGUUUUUAUAUUCAAAUAGAUCUAAGGAAGUUUUCUUUUUCUCCCUCCACCCCCGUAAGUGGAGGAUGUUUGAGGGUAAUGCUGUCUGAAUUUGUUGGUAGGGUUGGGCUGUUUUAUUGGACCUCGUGGAAUAAUUACUUUUCCAUUCUAUGAUUUCCAUGAAAGGUAAUCUUCAGAAGGAAAAGUUGUAGUCUCUUAACUUCACCCCUGAUCUUAAAUAUUUUGCUUAAGAGGAAUUAGUGAGGAAAUAACAGUCUCUCAGGAAGGUUUAAAACUGAUUUUAUUCAAUAACCAGAGACCUUUUAAUGUCUCCAACUGUGCCAAAACCUGCGAAGUUGCUUUCUUCCACACAUGUACCAGUUAGAGCUGGUAUUUUAAAAAAGCUUUACAAAAUAAUUUCAUGUUGGAAAUAAAAAUUGCGCAAAGUAGAUGAAGAGAUAGUUUUGUCAGCCUCCCCUGUGCAUCCAGACAGAUAAGCUCUCCAAGGGAGCUGCUGAAGACACAAAAGCUUCCUAGGUCGAGCACACCCAUCAGGUAGUGUCACAUGAUUGGUUAGCAGUUGCUGUAGAAAGAGGACCGGUUCUGAGGAACAAAGGUAGAUCUUUUUCCUCCAAGAUCCACAAGGUUUACAAGUCUAGGAUCCAAAUGGUCUAGGUCUUCACUGGCCAGUGACCCACGCCAUCAUCACACAGAGCAGAGGUUACCCUUCUGUGUUGGAAAUGUUUCAGUGUCUGCUAGGAAAUAUGAUACUACCAAUGCACUUUUAAUUAGUACGGUCUGUCUAGGCUUUGUUCACCUCUGGUCUUUAAAAAAUUAACUUUAAGGAGAUUUGCUUCAUACAAGAUCAUCAUAACAUCAUAAAUUCUUCCUUUUGGUUAGGAACAUUAAGUUACAUCCAUGUUGAAUGACAGCCCCACUAAUCGGUUAUCCAACCAAUGUUGGAUUUCAGAGAACUCAUUACUAACAUCAUGUAAAAUGAAUCCCUUCCAUUUACAGUGUUCAUUGAAUCCUUGCCCACAUAAAGACAGGGCAAAGAACAAAGCAGCCUCUUAUUCCAAGGAGUUUAAGAUGAUUUAAAAAAAGAAAGAAAGAAAAACACAGAAAUGGUGAUUAUUGGAGAAAGGUCCAAUGGUAGAAGGCCUUUUGAGUUUGGUGUAAGAAUCAGGAAACAGUUCAAAAAGACACAUUUGAACAUAAUCGAAAGACAAGCAUUUCCUGGGCAAGGGAGUCAGUGGAGCAGACUUCAGCCCAGAAGGCUAAAGAGCAUGUGUGAGGGGUGAAGAGCACCCUGGUGGGUCUGUGGCUGUGCAAGUCAGUGUGAGAAGACCGUGGACAGAAUUGCUGGGAAUGCGCCAUCUAAAAGUGAUGCAGAAAGAGCCUCCAGAGGAGCGGUAGGAGGAGAAUGAGACUAGAAGUGCAGAGGGGAGAAGAAGGGGGGAGAACACAACAGUAUCAGCAGCUAUGAAGAGGUGAGGGGCUGUGCCUUGAGUAGGAGAGUUGUUAUCCCUGUGAACAGGAAAGAACAGGUGCAUGUUGGAGUAGAGCUGGACAGGAGUGUGGGAGACAGGAGGUAUUUUAUGAAAUUUGAAGUGAGGUAGGUCACACCUGGAGGGAAUGAAAACAGGGAAGAGGUGGAGGUUUAAAGAAGCUGCUAUAUGUGUAGAAAGAAAAAGCCAGCUGCGAAAGACAUUCUGUGCUUCAUGGAGGGUUGGUUCAGAGUAGUUAGAGGCCACACAUUUUGGGUGGCAUAUUCUGACUAAGUGGCAUGUUCUUGUUUUUUUUUUUGUUUUUUUUUUUUUGCCCCUAGUAUUUAGAAGUCCAAAAACAGGCACAAAGAAAACUAUUGUGCCCUGGAAACCCCACCUGAGGAGGAAAUGUGUCAUUGUUUUGGUAUAUGGUGCACCAUGGCUGUAGAGAGUAAUAUGAUGCUGGUAUUUUGGUAAAUUAUAAACUUAUGUUAUCUAGAAGCAGCAGCUUUCUCCCUGUGGUCUUUAUCAGUACUCCAGAUUCUUUGGUUGUGCCAUGAGCUUAGAAUACUUACAGCCCGCAAGUCAGGCUUGGCUCUGUAGAGUUUGGUGUGCAAUGCUUCCUUUCUGUAACCUGUACCUGACAGUGCUUCAUUAGAAACAGUGGUAUCUGAUUUAUUUGAUGCACUCAGGACUGAGCCAAACCCCAUCGAAUUUUCCAGAUACCUGGAUGAUAGCCCUCAACUAAAACAAUGAAACAAGUAAAAAAAGACAAUUUCUAGGAUGUCUUUCUAUUGCUUGGUUUCUCUGAAGAGAGAAAUGGACUUUAUUUACAGUAAGUUCUUGAUGACCUUGACUCAUGCUUAUAAACCACGUCAAUUCAUGGACUCUCUGCUGAGCACUUUUUCGUUUUGUUUUGUUUUCGAUUUUGGUUUGGGGCUUUGGGAGUUUGAAGGAGCCAUUUCCUUGAUAGCCGUGAUUGUCAAAUCACAUAAUCUUACAUUGUUUUCUAACUGCUAAUCUUCCUAUGACUGAAGUGUGCCUUAAAAGCAGGAAUUAUGCAUGAUACCUCUGUCCUGCACACCAUCCAGCACAGGGCCAAUCAUAAAUCCACAAAUACUUGUGUGAUUUUUAAAUGUAACACAAUUCUUUUAAUGUAGGCUAAAAUCACUUUAGCUUUUGUGGGGAGGAGAGUGGGACCAGUAGUCAUUGGUGUUACUGGGUUUGUCCUUGGCUUUAGUGUCCUUUUUCAAACUCCUCCCUUUUUCACAUGAAUUGCCUUUUGACCCCACUGGUACUUGGUAGGCCUUUCACCUGAAUGUAAAUAUGUCUGUAUGUCUUUCCCUGAGUGAAAGAACUGCCAUAGGAAAUUUCUACUUACGAUUGCCUAACUGUUAAGUUAGAUUUGGCCCAGUGCACGGAUCUGUCAUAGCCCUUUGGAGUCCUGAAUCACUCAUCCAUCAUACUUACUAGCUUCUUUCAUUUUAUGUAAGAUUGAAAAACCCUUUUAUUUAGUUUAGGUGAAGAUACUACUAAAGAUUAACACUGCAGUCAUGCAUAGAAAAUGCCCAGGCAACAACAGAGACAUCAGUGCUGACUCUCAGACCUUCUCCCGGUGGAUAUUUGUUAGUCGGCAGCUCCUUUAUGGCACAUUUGUUCACAGUGGUGAAGCUCCCUGAUUGUAUUACAAUUCAGACUAAAUGUUUUCACAAGGACAUCUUAGAGAUCUGGUCAGAUUCACCUAAACUUUGCCUACCAUAUUUUCUUUGUCCAUCCAAUAACUGUAUAAAAAAGGAAGGAAAUAAAAAAUCAACACCCAUAUUUUAUAAAUACCUACCCGUUUUCUCUCCCAGAGCCUACUCAGAAAAGAUAAUUGCUGAUCCAAGGCAGAGGACCUCAGGCUUUUGUUUAUAGACUUAAUAAAUAUUUAUUGAGCAGUUACCCUAAACCAGACCUUGUGCUUAUAGUUUGGGAUAGCGCUGUGAACAAGUCAGGCGUCCUCCCCAGAAAUGUCUGUUAUUUCUAGGCUUGCAAGAAGGCUGAUUAGUGGGGUGAGUGUAAAGCAGCCAUUGUGAGUGAGUGAUAGACAAGCAGAGCUGGGAAGCAGUGUGCAGAAGUGGGAGCUCUGCAAAUGAAAUGUGGCAUCAAGGUCUAGAUAGAUUGGGAAACUAGUUGAACUAUGUAACAAGCCUUAAGGAACUGAAAUUUGGAUCUGCUUGUUUUCUAAAACAUUUAGUAUUAAUAGACUUUUCAUGCCAGUAAUUCAAGUGCAUACCGGUGGUAGCUCUCACACACUUUGGCACUGUCAUCUGAAGUAAAUGUCUUUGAACUUAAAACUGCCAUAUAAAAAUUUUGAUUUUUUUUUUUUUUUUGCCAUGGGGUAAAAAAAAAAAAAUAGCAGAACAAUGAGUCAAUUUUUUACUACAUUGCCCAAGUCUAAUGUUCUUUAGAGAGUUUUCAGAGAAUUGCUUAUGCAACAUCCAUCUCUCCCACUGUUUCUCCAGAGGGCUUGUGUUAAUCAGUUUCUGAAAGUCCUUCUUUGUUUAGGUGUGUGCAACACCUGGACUGACUUCUCCUGACUUCUGAGUUAACCACACCUCAUCUCAAAAGGACUGUGGGUGGAGAAAAAAAGGCUUAUGGAAGCACUCUUGGAGACAAUGCUCUACCAUCUUCUCAAAGAAUUGUGGAUGUUUGAAAUGUUGCUUUCUUCCGGGAGAUGGGGAUUGUAUGGAAAGGAGGUCACACGUGGCUAACUGAUUUGCCCAGUGGAACAUAGGCCUCCAAUGGCCAUGGGAAGACUGAAGUGGGCAUAGUGACUGCAGUGCCUCUCCAUGUUUCCAUAGCCAGGUAUCCUAGAAUUGGGCUAGAAAAAUGUGAUCCAUCAACCACCACAUCAAGCUUUCGAGCUAAUAGGAAUAAAUCAUACAUUUGGCAUUGUUAAUCUACUUGGAAUCAUUAUUGGGAUUGAGUUUUCAUCCUUUCUUUGAAAGAAUGUUCUGUGGUUGUUAAGAUCUGGCUUUUAAAUUUUCUUUUUACAAUGAGGUGAAAAGGCUCUUUUCUUCAAACCCUAUCUUGAACUAAAAAUCCUUUUUUAAUUCAAACAAAAGUAAAAAAAAAAAAUCUUCAACCCCCUCAUGCUUCAAGUUACAUAUGCUAAUAAUAAGCUCCACUUACUGUUUCUUAUCUGGGGACAAUACAGCCCCACAGGGGUACUUGGAAAUGUGUGCAGACAUUUUUGAUUGUCACCAUAACUGAGGAGUGCCACUUCUGUGAGGCUUUGAGCUAUCUGUUGAACAAGAAAAAGUUUUCACCAAAAUAACAGUAGUGACUGCACCAACAUGUAUUCUUAAAGAUAUUUUACUUUUAGGAAAAAUGAAUUACCUACACUUUUUUUUUUCUUUUAAGAUCGUUUAUUUGAAAGGCUGAGUUAGAGGAGAGAGAGAGCAAGCGAGCUGUCCGCUGGUUUACUCCCUAAAUGGCUGCAACUGCCAGGACUGGGCUAGGCUGAAGCCAGGAGCUUCCUCUGGGUCUCCCAUAUGGGUGCAGGGGCCCAAGCACUUAGGCCAUUGACUGCUUUCCCGGAGCAUUAGCAGGGAGCUGGAUCAGAAGUGGAGCAGGCAGGACUUGAACUGAAACCCAUAUGGGAUGCUGGUACUGCAGGUUGUGGCUAUAACCUGCUAAGCCACAGCACCAGCCCCUAUCCACAUUGUCAAAAUGUCUUUACUUUAACACAUCACUGUAGUAUACUGUCUGGAGGCUUGAGGUCUGAAAUAGCUAAAUGUGGUGAUUUGAAUGAUCUUAAAAAUACAACGAAAGAAUAAAAAUAGACUCCAAACAGACUAGAAAGAUGUAACUUUAGAAUGACUCCAAAUAUUCUGUAAUGUUGAGCUCAUCAAAGGUUUUGUCACCAAAAAGCCAAGUAUAUCCUUUAGAAUGCUUCCUUUGUGGCUCAAAAUGAAAAAUACUGUUUGAACCUCCACAAUGUGUGAGGUAAACCAGUUUAUCCUGUAGUUUGGCACUGCUUAUUGAGAAUUUGACAACAUCUAAGAAUUCAGCAUCUAACUCAGUCACUAGAAAACUGUAAAUUGCUAGCUGUAGUUUAAAGCUUUCAACUAGGCUUAGAUGCUCCUAAAACAAACAAAACAAAACGUCAUUAAAACCACCUUUGAAUUUUUUAAAUAGUCUUAGUAUUACUAGCCCAGCCAUGUUCAUGCAAUGAAAAGGCCAAGUUUCUGCUUGCCUCUCUGUAGCUCUGAUUGCAUCUUGUUAUAGUGUUGUCACUACAGCUGUGCUGGGUCAUUCUUUCCCAUCCCAUUCCACAAAUACGCACUUUGUACAGUCAUAGCCUUGGAAGCAGUGGCAAACAAGGAUGUGCCCACCCUCAUGAAGCUUCUAGUUUUGUAGGGACUGCACUUGUUGCUUUUAUUGCUUUUUUAUUUUUAUUUUUUAUUUAUUUGAAAGGCAGAGUUACAGAGAGAGAGGGAGAGACAGAGAAGAUAGAAAUAUCUUCCAUUCAUUGGCUCACUCCCCAGAUGGCCACAAUGGCUGGCGCUGGGGCGGUCCAAAGCCAAGAGCCAGGAGCUUCUGGGUCUCCCACAUGGGUACAGAGGGCCCAAGCAUUUGGGCCAUCUGCUGCUGCUUUCUGAGGUGCACUAGCAGGGAGCUGGAUCGGAAGUAGAACUGGGUCUCAAACUGGCACCCAUAUGGGAUACUGGGGCUUCAGGUGGCAGCUUUACCCACUAUACCACAGCACCAGCCCCUACAGCUAAAUUUUUGCUUCAGUGAGCCCUUAUAAAUUCUAUGUAAUCUAUUGCAGGUCACUCAGUGGGGUCUUUCUUUCAUAGGUAUUCCAUAAGUAAGGCUGGGCAGUAGCAAGCCUAACUCCUAUGAUAGCAAUAGCAUUCAUCAUGCUAACUACCACUUAUUACUAAGGGUUCCAUACAUUCCAGAAGCCAUGCCAAGAGCCAAGAGCAAAUAUUGAGGGUCCUUGCAAUGUGCUGAGCACUAAAACUUUUGCUUAUAUUCAUCCUUGUAAUUAAAUAACAGGCAUGAAAUUAUUUUUCAGGUGAGGAUUAUGAGGUGAAAGAGAAUAAGAAAACCACCUAAGGUUAUGCCCUAAUGCUGGGAUUCCAAAGGUGGCAGUGUGGCACUAGAGAUUUUCUUUUGAUCCUGAAAUGAACCAAGUAUAUCUAGUUAGAAAUUAUGAUCCCAGUUUUCCCAAGGUGGAACCUGAAGUUGAAAUUGUUAAGAAAAUGUCAGUAGAUGUGUUUACAAAUAUUCCAUUUCUUCCAGUUCUCUGCUUCUUGCACAUGAAAGCAUUCCAUCUUUCUGUGUCUUCUGAGGUCAGGUGUAGCUGUGUGCCUGCUUUCAUUAAGUACCUAUGGAUAGAUUUACCAGAAAGCUUUCAGAGCCUGUAUACAAUGUGUGCCCUUUCCCCUGUGUUGGUGAAACACCUGAUGAGACGAAGUCUUUGUCCCCCUGUGUGCUGGAAGGACCAUGUUGGAUAGCAUCCCUUCGCUGAUUGCCAUUAGACUGGAAGCAGUAAGCUCCUGAGAUUUGGGACAGGGAUAGGUGAAGGAGAGUGUUUGUAACCAUACAUAAUCUAGCCUAAACUCAACAUGUUGUUUGCCUAAGGAACCUGCCUAAACUCCUGUAACUUAAUGGUAUCACAUAUGUGUGUGGAAUUCAGAAAUCUGACACAACAGGUUGUGUUUUUUAUUAACGUCUAGCUGGGUAUUGCAUGGCCUGUGGGAAUAAAACAGUUCUUUGGCCUUUUAAUUUUAUGUUAUAAUGAAAGUACUUAAAGCAUUCAAUCUGAUGGCCAUGUAGUCCAACAUUAAGAACAUGUAGAAGAAAAGUUUCUUAUUCUCUGGCCAGAGCACUAUAUCUGGAGCUUAAUUUAAUCUGCAGUGUUCUAGUAUCCUUCCCUCCCCCCGCCAAGAUUGAUUGAUUUAUUUGAAGGGCAGUGAGAGAGAUGGAGAGAGAGAGAUCAACCACUGGUUCACUCCACAAAUGACCGCAAGAGCCGGGGGCUGGGCCAAGCCAAAGCCAGGAGCCAGGAACUCCAUUCAGGUCUCCCACAUGGGUGGCAGGGGCACAAGCACUUGGGCCGUCUUCUGCCACCUUCCCAGUUACACCAGCAGGGAGCUAGAUGUGAAGCAUCCCCAACUUGGACCGUGCUCCAGGAUGGUAUGCUGGCAUUGCAAGCAGCAGCUUAACCGCCUGCAUCACAAUGCCAGCCCACUAAUUUUGUUAAUUCUGAGAUUUGUGUUCCAGCAACAGAUGGUCAGCAAUGUUAGUGAAGAAUGCUAAUUUCUCCAUUGCUACUAAACUUUAUGACUGCAAUUAAUGGUUUUUAGGGUGUGAACAGUUUUAUAUACUUCACCCUUCUUUAGGUUAAGAUCAUAGUCAAACACUCUGACUCAGGUCAGACAUUUGGCUUAGAAUUUAUGCUGCUAGUUAGAAUAUCCAAGUCUUGUAUGAGUGCCUGGGUUUAACCCCCACCCACAGCUCCUGAUCCCAGCUUCCUGCUAAUGCUGACCCUGGGAGGUAGCAAAGAUGACUGAAGAAGUUGAGUUCCUGCCAACCCUAUGGGAGGCCUAAACGGAAUUGCUGGCUUUUGGCUUAAGCCUCUGUCUAUGGCUGGCAUUUGGGGGGUGAACCAGUGAAUGGAAACUAGCUUUCUCAAUGUCUUACCUCUCAAAUAAAUACAUUUUUAUUUUUUUGAAGAAAAUCACUUUAUUCUACUCAUAAACAGUAACAUUACAACAGUUUUUUCAAGGAGACCACACAUCUGUCCAGCCCCAAAUUCAAUACCGUCUCAAGGAAUACCAUCCUCUCAGCAAGGAUGCCCUUUUCCAUUGCAUUGCUGGACCAACGAAGCUCUUCAAAAUAGAUGACAGUCAAAUAAAUAAAAUUUUAAAAAGAAAUACUCAGGGGCCAGUGUUGUGGUUUGUUUCAGUCCUGGCUGUUCCACUUCCAGUCCAGCUUCUUGCUGAUGUGCCGGAGAAGGCAGCCAAAGACGGCCCAGGUACUGGGGCCCCUGUCACCCACGUGGGAGAGUCAGAUGGUGUUCAGGCUCCCAGCUUCCAUCUGGGCUAGUCUCAGUCAUUGCAACCAUUUGUUGGAGUGAACCAUCAGAUAGAGAAUCUCUGUCUUUCCCUCUGUCACUCUGCCUUUCAAAUAAAUAAGCCUUUUCAAACUUUUUUUUAAAGAUUUAUUUUAUUUAUUUGUAAGACAGAGUGACAGAGAGAGGUGGAGACAGAGUGGUCUUCCAUCCGCUGGUUCACUCCCCGGAUGGCUGCAAAGGCCGGAGCUGAGCUGAUCCGAAGCUGGGAACCAGGAGCUUCUUCUGGGUCUCCCACGUGGGUGCAGGGUCCCAAGGACUUGGGCCAUCUUCUACUGCUUUCCCAGUCCAUAGCAGAGAGCUGGAUCGGAAGAGAAGCAGCUGGGACUAGAACUGGUGCCAAUAUGGGAUGCCAGCACUUCAGGCCAGGGCUUUAACCCACUGCGCCACAGCACCGGCCCCAAGCCUUUUUUAAAAAAUAAGAAACACUGUAAAAUAGUUCCAGCACAUGUAUACACACACACAGUGUUAAGUUAUUCAAGUCCUCAUGUUGAAUUCAGAAUUGUGAGAAUUUCCAAAGCCAUUAGCUGAGUACAUUCAACAAUUUGGCAGUAUAGCACUGUCUACCAAGGCAAUGCAUAACACAGAGCCACAUUAAAUUUUGAACAUCUUUCCUGAGCAUGAUCUUCCUGAAAUUUCAAUGGAUGAAAGACUAUGCAAACCCUACCCUUUGCAUUAUUUGAUUAUUUAAUGACUUAUGUCAUUACUCAUGUACCAUAGGAGAAAAAAGAGCAGGCAAUAGCUCCUUAACUAGCAGAAUUUUAUGGUUUUUAUUUGUUUCUAAAUAAAGUCAUGAAAUUUGACACUGAUUAACUCUGUAAGGUUACUUUAGUUGCUUAAUCACAAAAUUCCUAAUCCUUCAUUCAAUAACUUAAAAAUUCUUCUAAAAUUGUUCAUAAUCCUGCCUAAUUCCAGUGAUAACUAGAGGCAACUGCUGUGUAUAUCUUUUUUAAAGAUUUAUUUAUUUAUUUGAAAGAACUACAGAGAGGCAGAUGCAGAGAGAGAGAGAGAGAGAGAGAGAGAGAGGUCUUCCUCCACUGGUUCACUCCCCUGAUGGCCACAUCAGCCAGAGCUGUGCCAAUCCGAAGCCAGGAGCCAGGAGCUUCUUCUGGGUCUCCCACAGGCAUGCAGGGGCCCAAGGACCUGGGCCAUCCUCCACUGCUUUCCCAGGCCAUUGCAGAGAGCUGGAUCAGAAGUGGAGCAGCCAGGACUAGAACUGGCGCCCAUAUGGGAUGCCGGCACUGCAGGCAAUGGCUUCACCCGCUACGCCACAGUGCUGGCCUGGCCAUGUAUAUCUUCAACGUUGGAAAAUACUUGUUCAGUAAUACUGAGCUAACAUUUCUGGGAUGAUCUAUACAAUGAAUACAUCAUAUAUGUUGGGUUUAAUUUUUGUUUUGAAACAUUAUAGAUGUAUAGGAUGUUGCAAAAAUAUAUUGGAGAGUUCCUUUCACAUGAUUUUCCCCAGUGGUUGGUUACAGCUUACAAAGUUAGAGUCACAGUACCAAAACCAGGAAACUGGCAUUGGUAUAAUGUGUGUGUGGUUCUACACUAUUAGCUUAUAGACUUCUGCAGUCACUGCUGCAGUUAAUAUACAGACUGUUGCAUUGCCACAAAGAUCUGUCUAUCCCUCUGGUCACACACCCUUCUUCAGCCCUCAGCUUCCUUCUGCUAUCCCUAAUUGCUGGCAACCACCAACCCAUUCAUCUUUAUGAUUUUCUUCAUUUCAAGAAUACUCUAUAAAAAGUAUUUUAAUAGAUGAAUUUUCAGUUGUUUUCCAUGUUUUAAUUAGAAGUUCAAACACAAAAUCUUAUAGAUGUAAAACAUACCAAGAUUAUGCUUAUUAAAUGGUGAUUAAUUUAUAAUUUUAUCUUGCAAUAUUUCAAUCAUCUUUUUUUGCAAUUAAACACAUAUUAAACUUUUCUACAUUGUAGAAGAUGAAGACUUUCUUAACUUGAACAGCACCAGCAUUUUCUGUUGGUAAGCAACUAGCAAAUAAAGCUUAGAUGAAAAUUACACAGCUCCAAAGAAAUGUGGUUCUUCCAGUAGGCCCUGUGUUUGAUCUAAGUCCCAAGUAAUUACAGUAAGCCCUUUGGUUCUGCUGCUGUUCUGAGAAUGAGGAUUUGAUACAAAUCCAAAUAGUACAAGUUUUCAUUUUAAAAAAUUGAUAAUCCAUUUGGAACAAUAUGGUUAUCCACUAUUUUGAGCUUACUUGGAUGUAUAUAUUAUGUAGGAUAAUUUUACAGAGACAAAUUCCUAUAAAUAUAUUCACUGCUAUCUUAAUUAGAAAUAAUUUAUGGCUCUCCAUAAGUGACAAGUCUUUCAUGUUGAGUGAAUAAACCAGUGAUUAGGUCACGAGACUAUUGUUAGGAACAUGUAGGCAGACAGCUGACAAAUGAAUUGUUAUCUUGCCUAAGGAGGAGAAAAAAACACUAAGGUAAAAUUAAAAUGCCAAUACAAGCUGAUAGAAGACAUGUAACAUUUUGUGCACUGAUGAUACUCAAAUUAAACAAUGGAAUGUACUAAUAAGUAUACUGUAGAUUUUAUUUAAAAAAUGGAUUAGAGGGGCCGGCACCCUGGCUCACUUGGUUAAUCCUCCACCUGCAGUGCCGGCAUCCCAUAUGGGCGCCGGGUUCUAGUCCCGGUUGCUCCUCUUCCAGUCUAGCUCUUUGCUGUGGCCCGGGGGUGCAGUGGAGGAUGGCCCAAGUCCUUGGGCCCUGCACCUGUAUGGGAGACCAGGAGGAAGCACCUGGCUCCUGGCUUCGGAUCGGCACAGCGUGCUGGCCAUAGUGGCCAUUUGAGGGGUGAACCAAUGGAAGGAAGAUCUUUCUCUCUCUCUCUCUCUCACUAUCUAACUCUGCCUGUUUAAAAAAAAAAAUGGAUUAGAGCAGGGGGUAGAAAGACAGGAAAAGAAUCUAGGCUUGAUCCACUGAAACUAUUGAACUAUUUAUAUUAAAUCAGACCCCUAGAAAAGGCUAAACUUUAUGAAGCUCAAAUGUUUAGCUAUAUUUUCAAAUGUGCAUUAAUAAAUACUGAAUGGCUAUAUAAGAUGAAUUAUAUUUUACCCAAUAGCUUGUCACAUAUCUUAAGCACUGCCAUAAGAAUCAUCCAUUUAGAGGGAGGAUUUGAGUGACAAGCAACACACCUCUGUUUUCUGUCCUGUUCUACACUACAUUUUUAUUUUCAGUAAUAUAAAGAUAUUGUUGGAGUUAGGAUUUUUAAAAUGAAGCAAGAUAGAGAAUUAACAGUAGAUGAAUCAAAGUCCAGGUAAAAUUUCAGGAUAGAAGGAUGGGCAGGGAUAGAUAUAAUGACAUUGAAUUGGUGUAAAUGUUCAAGUCCAGCCUUUGGAAAAGGACUUCACAGAGGAUGUGUUACUUGGGCCCAUCACAUGUAGAAAAAGACUUAGGACUUUUCCUAACUUCAACCUGUGUGGCCCAGGGAAUGACUUGAUGGUUCAAAAAACCUAACACAAUCUAAAAAUACAUGUGUAUGUAUAAUUAUAUAAUUUUCAGAGCAGCACAACAAAUUGUCCUACUGUAUUUUAUGUUGGUCAGAUUUUUUUUUAAGAUUUAUUUAUUUAUUUUAAAGAGUUACAGAGUGGAGAGACAGAGAUAUUUCUUCCAUCUGCUGGUUCACUCUCCAAAUGGCCACAUGGCCAGGGCUGUGUCAGGCUGAAGCCUGGAGCCAGGAGCUUUUUCUGAGUCUCCCACAUGGGUUCAGGGGCCCAAGGAGUUGGGCCAUCUUCCGCUGCUUUCCCAGGUGCAUUAGCAAGGAGCUGAAUCAGAAGCAGAGCAGCCAGGACUGGAACUGGCACUGUAUGGGAUGCUGGUACUGUAUACUGCAGCUUAACCUGCUGUGCCACAGUGCUGGCUCUUUUAUUGGUUAGAUUUUUAUGUAGUUCUGUGUCAAUUACUGUACAAUAGAGAUAGAAGUAAGGUGUCUAAAUUUGAUGAAGAGAAUUAAACAUGUAUAUUGAAAACUGGAGUAUGGUAUGGCUUGUCUUUGAAGAUCAUGCUGAAAUUUAAUCCUCAUGAAUGUGGAGGGUAGAAACUUAAUACAGUCUCUGUGUUUAAGGGUGGGAUCUUUGAGAGCUGAUUCGGAUCAGAGUGGAGCCCCCAUGUGCCGUCUCUGUUGCUCACCAUAUGAUGCCCUGAGCCACCUUAGGACUCUGCCAGCCAGAAUGUAUCACUAGAUGCAGCCAUUGCCUCCGUACCUGAACCAUAAGCCAAAGUAAACCUCUUUUCUUUAUAACUUACCCAGUUUGUGGUAUUAUGUUGCCAACAUCAGAAAAUGAACAAAGAAAAUUAGUACUGAAUUGUUGGCUUUUGUGAAUACUGAAUACCUAAAAAUGUGGAGGUUGUUUUGGAACUGGAUAAUUCUGAGGGCUCAGAAGUUCCAAGACUAUGGAAGAACUAGAACAUCUUAGAGAUGGGAUUGAUGGUCAUGAACAGACAGCUGAUGCAAACGAGGACUCUUCUACUGGAAACUGGAGGAAAGACCGUCCCAUCACACCUCUGCAAAGAGCUUAGCUGACUGUGCCCAUGCCCUAGAGAAUUAUGGAAGGCCAAAUUAAAAGGGAUGGCUGUUAGAGGAAAUAUCCAAACAACAAAGCAUUCAGACUGCUGCUUAGUUACUUCUAACUCGUGCAGUAGGAUUGGGGAGCAAUGGCAUGACCUAAAAGCAGGAUGCAGAAUUGAAAGGGAAGCAGAGUAGAAAGAUUUGAAAAACUUGUAUCCUAGUGAAAAAGUGUGUUCAGGAGAACCAAAUAAGGAUGCAGCCCAGCAACCACUUAGUAAGGAAAUGAGCACGGAUAAAAGGGAGCCAGCUGGUGGUCACCAAGACAAUGGGGAAAAGGCCUCAAGCACAUCUCAGAAAUCAUUGAGGUUUCCCUCUCAUCGCAAGCCCGGAAGUCUGGAAGGGAAGAAUUUUUAGGGAACCCUGGAGUGCUCCUCAAGGGGCUCACUGCCCAGAGCUGCCUGAGGAUUCUGCUCCCAGCUUUGUGAUGAAGCACUCUGUGGCUGCUCCAGCAGUCAUGCUCCAGCAAGUGCGGCUGGGUGCAGCUUAUGCCACUGACUCAAAGGGAACCCAGUGCUAGCCCUUGGUACUGAAUGCAGGUGAACAGAAAGCAAAAUCUGCCGGAUCUGGGAAGCUUCUGCUGAGAUUUUGAAGACAAGGCUGACUCAGGGAAGGAAUCAUUGCAGAGAUUCUACACUGGAAAGCCUACUAGAGCCAUGGGAGUGAGACCAGUGCUGUUGAGAUCCCGGGAAGGUAGAGUCGCUGACAGCGUGCAAUGCCAGACUGGAAAAGCCACAGAUACAGGCAACCUGGGAGAGCAGCUAUCUGGGCUGUGAGCAGCAGAGCCUUGGAGACAAGGCUGCCUCUGGCCGUGGGGGCCCACCUCCUGCUACAGUGUACCUAAGGUUCUGGAUCUAGAGCUUAAGAUUUAACGUCUGCCCUGCUGGAUUUCUGCCUCGCUUGGACAUUUUAUUCCUUUUACUUCUCCCUUUUGGAAUAGGAAUGUUUGUUCUAUCCCUGCCUUACCAUUGCAUCAUAGAAACAGAUAACUUUUCUGAUUUUCCAGACUCACUGCUAGAAGGAGUUUGCCUUGAAUCUGACAUGAGACUUUGGACUUGAGGCUUUCAGUUGGUGCUGGAAUGUGUUAAGACUUUGGAACUAUCUGGAUGGAAUGCUUGUAUUUUGUAUAUGAGAAGGACAUGAGUUUCAGGGUACCAGGAGCAGAAUACUAUGGUUUAAAUAUGAUUUGCCCCGCUCUGAAAUUCAUGUUCAAACUUAAUCCUCAUUGUGAGGUAUUAAGAGCAUGGACACUUAAUCCCACUGUGGUGGUCUGAGUUGGGGCUUUCGAGAGCUGAAUAAUUAGGAUUAGGUAAGAGCACCAGGGUUCAGCCCCCAUGAUUAAAUCCUGGUGGCUAUAAGAAGAGGGAGACAGACCUUUCACACAUGCAUGCCCUGUCUCUUGCCAUGUGAUACCCUGCACCAUCUUGGGAUUAGACUGUCACCAAAUGUGGCUCCUGGAUCUUGUUCCAGACCAUGAACAAAAAAUAAACCUUUCUUUCUUUAUGAUAUACCCAGUUCAUGUAUCACAUUAGCAACAGAAAUGAAGUAAGAUGGAUUGCAUUACUUUCUUCGAAUAAUGAAAGACUAGAGCAAGGAUAAUGGCUUAGACUUGAACAUUGCCUCUACCUCAAAGUGUGUAACUUGGAGCAGAGUCAAAGAUAUACAGAAGGAGAAUUCAACACAAAAUAAGCAGGACCUCUUUAGCCAUAUUUGGAGAUCCAAAGAUCAAACAGACUUAUUUCUAGGUAAUGAGUACCACAUCACUGGAGAUACUCAACCAAGGUAUGUGUCACAGCUACUAUCUAUGCAAUGCAAAUGCUACAUUUCCUUCAGUCCUGACAUGUUACUAAAUGGGUAUUACAAACCUCAGGUUUACAACAUUUACCAACUUUGGGAAUCACCUUCUGUGGGCCUGUUUCCUCCUGUUCAAUAGACUGUGGGGUGAUGCUAACUUAGAAAGCUGUUGGAAAUAUUAAAUGAGGUUGAAGAACAAUAGCAGUAGCCUGAUUCCAAAUCCCCCCCUCAUAUUCCCAAAGCAACCAUAGAUCCACCUUGAGAACAAAACUAUCCAGGACCUAUUAUGUAAGUAUUACUAGACAGAAAACUUGAAACUUUCAAGCCAUUUAUAAGGAAAAAAAAAGAAACUCAAACAAAGCUUCCGGUAUCUACAUAUUUUGCAUGUGGAAGGGUGCUGGAGAAACAGAAAUGACUCCUAGAACCAGAGCAGAGUGGGGCAGAGGACUUAGAGUAAGUGGGGAUGACAUCACCUCCAGUAGGAGGAAGUCAGAUAGUUCACACGAACCUAUCAAAUUCAAGUUGAGAUUGGGUCAUUCAUAGCCCUGGCUACAGGGAAAGGACUUGAAAGUGUGCUGGACUGAAGUGGCAGCUCUUUAGAAGCAGUGAUUCUAGGCGGGGAGGGGAUGAGAGAGACUAAGCUGUACCAGAUGGAUACUGAGUGAUGAAGGGAAAGAAAGGAAGAAAGCAAAGGAGAAAGUGAAGAGCCUGCUGAGCGGCUGGUGCUGUGACGUAGUAGGUUAAGCCUCCGCCUGCAAUACCGGCAUCCCAUGUGGGUGCUGGUUCCUCUCCCUGCUGCUAGUUUUCCCAUCCAGCUCUCUGCUUUGGACCAGGAAAGCAGCAGAAGAUGGCCCAAGUGCUUGGGCCCCUGCAAUCACAUGGAAGAAUCUCCUGGCUCUUGGCUUCAGAUCAGUCCAGCUCCUGCCUUUGCAACCAUUUGGGGAGUGAACCAGCAGAUGAAAGAUAUUUCUGUCUGUCUUUCUCUCUGAAUAACUCUACCUCUCAUAUAAAUAAACAAAAUCUUAAAAAAAAGAACCUGCUGAAUAAAAUUAGUUGAUUGUGUCAAUGUCAAUUUCAUGUUUGUGAUAUUGUACUGUAGGAUUGGAAGAUGCUACCCUUAAGAGAUCUGUGGAAUCUCUAGUUCUUACAAUUUCACGUGAGUCAUAAAUUAUCUCAAAGUUUAAAAAUUUAUAUAAAAAUGAAGUAGGAUUGUUGAUUCCAUUUUCAUGAAGAUCAAAACCCAACAAAAUUAAACUUGUUUAGAAAUAUACAACUAAAGAAAAUUUAUUGCAAUAAAGCUCAAUUUAAUGGUUUCCUCUACAAUGGGAGGAAGAGUCACAGUGAAGAAGUGGUGUGUGUGUGUGUGUGUGUGUGUGUGAUGCACCUGACAUUUGUGGUGGUUAUAUUUUGUUUACUUUAAAAUAAUUCAUCAAACUGUCAUUUAAGUUUUUAAAACUUUACAGGAAGAGGUGCUGACCUACAGGCCAUAGUUUGUUGACCCCUCUUCUAGAACACAAAGAAAACUUCAUAGUAGGUUCCAUAAAGUAGAUGUGUUACCAAAAAACAAACCAACAACAAAACAGACUUGACUACAAUGUAGUAAAACUGAAAAUUAAAAAAUAAACCAAAAAAUGAAGAAUCCUCCACCAGGAAAUUAAAAGAUGUUGUAUUAAUUUCCAAGUUAAAAAGUAAUAAAUAAAAUUACUGAAUUGCUGAAAAGUAACAUUAUAUAUGAGAAGUCAUGGGAUAUAUUUAAAGGAAAGCAUAUGUAACUACAUCUAUAGCAAUAAAGCAUGAAUAAAGAUAAAUGAAUUAGUUUUGCAACUCAAAAUACUAAAUAAGGUACAAGUAAAUAAAGUACAAGGUAGGAAUUAUUUAUAGUGGAAAUUAUAAUGAAGUUGAGAAUAGGGAAGCACUGGGUCAAAUUGAUCAAAAUUCUAAUUCUUCAGAAAAUAAACAAAAAUAGACAAACCACUAGAUAAUAAAGGGAGAAGAAAACACCAAUGUACAAAAUAAGAAAUUACCUAGAAAUAGUUAUGAUAGAAAAGGAAUUUUUAAAAGUAAUAAACAACUUUUGCAUAAUUUCUGCAAACAAGUUGGACAUAUAAUUUCUUAGAUAACUAUUCCAUAAUAAAACUGUUCUCAGUAGAUAAAGCUUAAAUUUUUAUAGAAAUAGAAAAUGUUUUCUAGCUAUGCUACAUGAUAGCACCAGGCCCAGGUGAUCACACAAGAGAAAUUUACCAAACCUGUAGAUAUCAGACAAUCCCAAUGCUACAUAAAUUAUCUCAGACUAAAAUCAAGAAUAAUGUUCAUCUUAUGAAGCAAGCAUAAUACUGGUAUCCAAACCUGAUAAAGUCAGUAUAAAAAUUAUUUAAUGAAGUACUAGAAAACAGACUAUGACAACACAUUAAAAAAAGAGAUGAGGGGCCUGAGCUAAGGCACAGUGGUAAAAGCGGUCACCUGCAGUGCCUAUAUCACAUAUGGGCACCGGUUUGAGUCCCGGUUGCUCCAUUUCCGAUCCAGCUCUCUGCUGUGGCCUGGGACAGCAGUAGAAAAUGGCCCAAGCCCUUGGGCCCCUUCACCCGCAUGGGAGACCUGGGAGAAGCUCCAGGCUCCUGGCUUUGGAUCAGCGCAGCUCUGGCUGUUGCAGUCAACUGGGGAGUGAACCAGCAAAUGGAAGACCUCUCUCUCUCUUUGCCUAUCCUCAAAUAAAUAAAUAAAUCUUUUUUUAAAGAUUUAAAUCUUUUU